UAAAAACUUAGUCAACAAGUUAAGCACAUGUUGGUACCUUGCAAAAUAAGUUAAUUAUGUAACAUACAUAUAAAAAUCUUGCCUUGCAAGUUAAGAUACGUAUCUUGCAAAGUCAAUAUGUUUUGGAGGUCCUAUAAGAUAUUGCCACAUUGUCAUAUUACAUGACACCUUACUUGAAAAUACAUCAAGCACCUGGCUUUUGAAGAUAGAAGGAAAAUUACAACAAUAAGAUUCUAAUUCUAAUAAAAUCUUAAAUAAUUUCAAUUAAACCUUAAUAAUGUCAAUUAACCUUUAAUUAAAUCCAAAGAAUCCUUAAAGAAAUCAUGAAAGAAGCAUCAAAAAUCCCUAAAGAAAUUCAAAAGAAGUAUUAGAAUAAAAUCCUAAAUAUAUCUUAAAUAAAUUCUAAAAAAAUCUUAAUUUAAUCCUAGUUAAAGUUUUAAUUAUUUUUAAUUAAAUCCUAAGUCAAAUACUAAUUAUAUAUUAGAUAAUCCUAAAUUCUAAAUAAAUUCUAUAUCUUAAUCAAUUCCUAAACCUUAAACCAAAUCCUAAAUCCUAAAUCAAAUCCUAAAUCCUAAAUCAAAUCUUAAAUCCUAAAUUAAAUCCUAAAUCUUAAGUAAAUCCUAGUCAAAUUAACCUAAUCCUAAGAUAAUUUAAAACCUCAAUAUCUAUCAAUUAUACCAUUGAUCUCGCUUAAGAUUUUAUACACCUCUCAACAACUAAGUCAGCAACAAGUACAGAAAAGUUGAAGAUGAUCGAACUUACCAAAUAAAAAAUUAAUUCUAAAUUUUUCUUGAGUAUUGGCUCGCCUCCUACUCCAAUUUGAAUGUUAAACUUCCAUUGCAAAUAUCUCCUUCUUAAACUUUUGAAUUGCUUCGAAAAUUAAUCUAAAUUAUUGAAAAUUAAGUCUAGUUUCUAUACACAAGAAAUUCACUCAAAUCCAAUUGACAAAUUGCAUAGAUAUUAAAAAUUUUCACUAACUUUCAAACUCUAAUUUUUGAGACUUCAACCUAUAAAAACCUUUACAUACUUUGAUUAAAUUAUUCAAUUGACUUCAAAAUUUACACAUAGACUAAUAAUUAAAAUACCAAGAUAUUAUCAAAAAUUCACCUAUAUACACACCACAAAACUCAAGAGACCCUAAAUUUUAUAAACAUAACUUUAUUUUUUAAAAUCUAAUUCAAUUGAAAAUAUUGCUAAUUUUAAAAAUCUUUGAAAAUUUGAAUAUUAACUUAAUUGUCAUAAAACCAAUGCUUUAAAAUCUCUUUACAAGUCUGCUCUAAAAUUCUAUAUUCCAAUCUACCAAAGAACUUUUGAAUCACCACAGAUGCAUGAUUUUGUGCCUCAUGGUUUGAUUUUGAUCUUGGUUGACAAUUGGUCCUCUUUGGGUAUCAAUAUUUGAUAAUUUGAGAUAAUUUUUGCUUCAACCUAUUAGAAGCUUCUUUCUAAACAUAUUUAUAUAAAUUAUUUAUCUUAUUUAUUUCGAUUUCAAGUAUUUAUGCUCCUACAAAGCAAAUAAAAGUCCAUUUUCUAAAAGACAACAUUAAGUCAAAACCUUUUAUUAUCUUCUUAUUAUUUUUUUUCUAUUACAUCUUUUUACUAGGCUCUUCUACAACAACAUCUGUAUUUUUAUUUUUCAUCAUAUGGUUGUAUUACUAUACAACAUCCACUCCCUCUAAACCUAAGCAUCUUCUAGUAUGUACCAAAUAACUUAAAUCUUGUUUGAUUUAUAUUAUAUUUUCUAUGCCUUUAUCUAAAUCUUUUUCAUCAUUUUCACUAUCUAAGUCAAAUUUAUUUUCUUGUCUUAAAAAAUUUAUGUCUUCAAUAAGCUCUUUUAUAUUUAUUUCUAUUUGUCUUUAUUUGAAUAUCUUUACUUGCCUCCUUACAACUAGUAUUUUUAACCUUAUUCCAUUUAACUCUUAUAAUAAAUAAGUUUCAUUAUCAUAUAUAAUUGCUACUACAUAUGGUUCAAAAUUUUUUUUAAAAAACUUCUUUAAAGUACUAUAUUGAUUGUCUAAGCUACUAUCAUAGACCAAAAUCCAAUCAUCUUCUUCAAUUGCUUUAGGUCUUAAAUGAUGUUGCUCAUCAAACCAUGCUUUAUUUUGUAACCUUGAUCUUUUUAAUCUUUCUAAUAUUAUUUGCACAUCUUCUUGUCUCUAUCCAAGUUGUUAAAUUUUAAUAGCUAAAAGUUCUUUUCUUAUCAAUUCAUCUUCUCAUGGUAGCAUAAUCCAAGUAAGUAUUUUUUUUUUUUUUUUUUUUUUUUUGUUAAUUGGCAUAAUAGGUUUUUGACUUGUUAUGAGUUCAAUAGGCAUAUAUCUUUUUAGUGAACUAUAAGUCAUUCAAUCAGUCCACAAUGCAAAUAGCAAAAAUUGAGGCUAUUCUUUAACCAUUACAAGCUAUAACUAAUUUUUUUACUAUUAGUAGAUGACUAUAUUCACUUUUUGCAUUUCCUUCAAGAUUAUAAGCAAUAAUUAAUGAUAAUUUAAUUCCAUAUCUUUCAAAAAAAUCACAAGUUUCUCAUGCAUUUAAUUUUUCACAAUCUGUAAUAAUUUCUUUUAUACAUCCAUAGCUCUAAAUAAUAUCUUCAAGUAAAAAUCUAUAAUUUCUUUUUAUAGAAUUUAUUUUCAAUACUCUACCUUUUACUUGAUUUGAUAAAUCUUCACAAAUCAAGAUCAAAUAUUUCACUUUUCAUAACCAAAUUGGCAUAAUAAACAAAUAAAUAACCUAUUUAAAUUGAAUAGCUAUCAAAGAUAAGAACUUAAUGAAAGCAAAUAAACAAAUAAGGAUCUCUUAAAGAAAUAUGAUAAAAUAGAAAUAGAGAAGUAUGUAUAUUAAAAAGAAAACUGGAAUGGCUAUUGCCAAAAGACAAAAAACUAGAGAUUUUUGAAACUAGACUAGAAGAAAAAAAAGAAAUUAACAAGAGUGAAGAAGGCUUCAUUUUUGCCUCUAUAUAUACUAUCUAUGUAGAAUCUAUAUAGCAAUGUUGUAUUACAUGAAGUCUUGCUCAAGAAUGUACUAGGCACAUGAUUGUAAAAGAUAGAAUGGAAAUUACAACAACAAAAUAUUAAUUCUAAUAGGAUAUUAAAUAAUCCUAAUUAAACCCUUAAAAAUGCUAAGUAAGCUUUAAGCAAAUUCAAAAGAAAUCUUAAAGAAAUUACAAAAGAAACAAUAAGAAAUCCUAAAGGAAUUCAAAACAAAUCCAUAAUAAAUCUUGAAAAAAUCUUUAAGAAAUUCUAAAGAAAUAUCAAAAUAAAUAAAAAUAUAUCUUAAAUAAACCUCAAUAAAUUUCUAAUUUAAUCCUUAUUAAAAUCCUAAGCCAAAUCCUAAAACUUAAGCAAAUCAUAAAUUUUAUGUAAUAAAAAGUAAAAAUUAAAAGUAAAAAAAUAUAUUUUUAAAAAGGAAAUUUUUUAAUCUUCUAAAUGGUAUAAAAACAUAUAAAUCUAAGUUAUUUUGAAUAAGUUAUGAAGGUUUAAAAAUAACAAGUAAAUAAAUAAAAAAUUAAGUGAAAAUAUUUUACCUCAAGGAUAAUUUGCUUAUAGAUCAAAAGUUUGAACCUCACCAAGGUUCACAUGUAGUAUAUUAAGAUCUCUAAGAGAGGCCAAAAGGCCUUAGUUUUAUCCUCCUAACUACCUUCAAGGUGCUACAACCCAUAUGGGACUUGUGCACCUUCUUUCUUAUAAGGAUUACACUACCUACCAGUCCUCCUAUUUUCUAUUAAUAAAACCAAUAUUUUUAAAUUUUUGACUUCACCAUGGUAUUUAAAAACAUCCAAUCAGCCUAAGAAUUGUGUAUGGCUUUCAAAUUUUGCUCAAUUUCUUCAUAAUGGCUUCCGAAGUGGUAAAAAAUUAUUUUUACUAAAGUCUUAGAAAUUGCUCUAAAAGUUCCUAAAAAAUUCUAAAUAAAUUCUAAAUAAAUUCUAAAAAUUUCUAUAAUAGUUUUAUAAUACUAAUAUCAAUUUAAAGAUAUAAUUUAAUAUCUUUAUGAUUUUCUAUAGUAAUAAAAUCAAUUUAAAUCCACUAUAAAUCCUACUUUUUAUAUAAAUAACUAAAAAGACAUGAGGUUCUUUUUUAUGCUUCUUCUAGCUACUAACUAACAUUUAUAUUUUUUCUUAUAAGUAAUAUGUAUAGAUAGAAGGCAAAUAUAAAUAUUGAACUUAAUAAAUAUCCCUCAAUAUUCAAUUAUAAAUAAAAAAAUAUUAAAUCAACUAAAAUAAUUACGUCUAAGACUUAUAAAGACUCCAAUUCUACAACUAAUAUUUUAAUUUUCUAUUUGUCUAAAAAUUUCUAUACUAUUCAUCAUAUAUUGUGGUUUUAAGAACUUUAAAUUUUUAUCCUAAAAAAAUUAGUAAGUUGAUUUGAUGACUCACAUAUAGAGUAUUGCAUCUCUUCAUUUUUCUAACACAUGAAAAAAAUAAAAUUCAUAUUCUUUUGUGUUCUUAAAAUAGAUUAAUAUGUUGUCUAUAUAACAGACAAUAAUGUCAUCUAAAAAUUCUCAAAAAAAAUUAUUUAUUAAAUGUUGGAAAUCCAUUAGUAUAUUUAUAAGUUUGAAAGGCAUGACAUUGUAUUUAGAAUGUACAUACCUUAUUCAAAAUGUAAUCUUCUAUUUAUCUACUUCUUUGAUGCAUACUAGAUUUUAUGUUCUUCAUUGAUUUAUUUUUUUUAUAGAUUUUAGCUUGAUUCAACUAAUCAAAAUGUCUAGAUAUUUAACGUAGUAGAUAUCUAUUCUUGAUGGUGAUUUUGUUGAGUCCUGAAUAAAAAAUAUACAUUUGCAUUGAUCUAUUGUUUUUCUUCAUAAAUAAAAUUGAAGAUCCUAUUAGAGAUUUAAAAUGGCAUAUGAAGUUUUUGGCCAGAUUUUCUUUAAUAUAUUCCUUGAAUUCAGCCAAUUCAUUUUAUGAUAAACUAUAUAUUGAUCAAAAGGGCAGUUGAACUCUAUCUUGAAGAUCAAUUCAGCAGUCAUAGGGAUGAUGUUUUGAUAAAGUAUUUGUAUUCUUUUUCACAAAUACAUCUUAAAAAUCUUGAUAUUGACUUGGAAUGCUACUUGAAGUCUUUCUACUAUUAAAAACAUGUACAAAAUAAAUGAUACAAGAUAAUUUUUCUUUUGUAACAUCCAAAAAAGCUCUUAUAUAUAUAAAUAUAGGUUUAAUUAUAAUAGAAUUAUGACUUUUUAUUUAAUUAAGUGUACUCUCAGUUAUACCUUUAAAAUAGUUAAGAAUAAAAGAAAUCCAAUCUAUUUUUGGAUUAUACUUUUUUAGCCAUGAUAAACCUAAAAUAAUUAGAUUAGAAAAAGAUCUAAUGAUAUUAAAUAUUACAAAGCUACUAUGACUAUUAAUUAUUACUUCUAUAGAAAAGAUUUCAUGAGUAAUAUUUUCUAAAGACAAUAGAUGACUAUCUAUGACUUCUACUUAAACAAGUUUAAUUUUCUUCACUCAAGAUAUGUUGUAUCUUUUAGCAAAUUCUUCUAUAAGAAAUAUGUUGAGGCUCUUGAAUCUAACAAAACAGAGGCUUUGUGUUGUUUAGAUCCUAAAAAAAUAUUUAUUAUAAAAUAAAGAGAGGAUUUUGAGAAAAGAAUAGAACCUUCACUAGAUGUUGUACAAGAUUCCACCGCAUGGUUCCUAUUAUAGCUAGACAACUUGUUUUCUGACAUACUAUCUUCUUUGAUAUCCAUACUCCUUAUUUUGUGGUUGUAUCGCUUCUUUGGAUAAUGUUGGGUAGUAUGCUUAGGUUUUCCAUAAUACAAGCAUAAUCCUUCUUAAUGAUGAUGGAUCUUUUCUUACUCAGUAAGAGAUUUUAAACAUAUCACAUCAAUUUGCAUAUUUUCUACUUUCAAAUAUAUGUAUUGAUAAGACAUUGGCAUUGUCAUUGAAUAAUAUUAGUAUUGAGGUACAUUUGUACAACUCUUAAAUUAAAAUUCAAAAAGUCAAUUGUCACACCUUAUGACAAAGUCAAUUGCUUAAUUCAAUAUUUAAAAAUUAGAUAAAUUGAGCAUUAUAUUUUUUACUUCAUAUUGCAAUCCAUAGAAAAAUUAGCUAACAAAUGCAGUUGAUUGCUUUGUUACAAAAUAUAGAUUUUAUUAUUUGCAAGAUAAAUUACAUCAUAUUCUUUAUACAUGAAUUGAAAUUUUACCAAAAAAGUCUCCAGAUUAUCCAAUAUUAUAUCUUGUCUUUCAAAAAAAGAUAAAAACUAUGAUAAUAUUGAACUUGAAAAGAGUAUAUCAAUGAAUCUAACUUGCAAUCCUCGAGUUGAAUAGCUUUAGGAUCGAAGUUCAAUCACAAGUUGUACUUGAUUGAUAAACUAUGAAAAUUUGGAACUUAUGCCAUUAAAUGUUUUGGAUAAUGAAACUUUUGAUUCUCUAAUACUAGAAAAGUAUUCUACUAUAGGAGAAUUGACAUGUUUUGAUGCAGAUAUUGAAACAGCUCCAAUCAUCUUUAUAUCUUUGCUCUUUGCCAUUCUUAUUGUUCCAUGUGGUAGUAAAUUGAGUUGAUAUAUUACAAGCAUUAAUUCCCUCAAUUGCUCUUGCAUUUAUGCCAUUAUAGUCUUUAUUUUAAGAAGCUUUGCCAUGAUAACACUUAAAAAAAAGAAGAUGUCUAAUAUCAUUUAAGACAAAUUGAAGAAAGUACUUGAAAAAAAAUGCUAAAAAUAAUAUCAAUUUAGAAGAUUAUAAUCUAUAACUUCUAAUAUGCUUAAUUCUUAGCAAGAGAAAGAAAUAAUCUAUUUUUAAUCAAAAAAGACAAAGCUCUAAUAUUAUAAGUAUAUUCUUGUCAAUUUAUCAAGGACAAGAACUCAAUGAAAGCAAAUAAAUAAAUGAGGCUCUCUGAAAAAAUUAUGACAAAAUAGAAAUAGAGAAGUAUGUAUAUUAAAAAGAAAACUAGAAUAGCUAUUGCCAAAACACAAUAAAACUAGAGACUCUUAAAACUAGACUUGAAACAAGAAAAGAAUUGACAAGAGUGAAGAAGACUUCACUCUUGCUUCUAUAUAUAUAAUCUAUCUAGGAUUUAUGUAGCAAUGUUCUAUAGAACCUCCAAAAAUGUGCUGACUUUGCAAGACAUGUAUCUUAAAUUUCAAGGCAAGUUUUUUAUAUGAAUAUCACAUAAUUAGCUUAUUCUACAAGCUACCAAUACAUGUGGCACAUGAUUAGCUUAUUGAUUAAGUUUCUAAUCUAUCUAUCAACUACAAAUACAUGUAAAGUGAAAAUAACAUCUAAGAAGCUUUUAAGAAGUUUUUGUAGAAGAUAUUAUGAAAAUAAUCUAUUUUUACUUACUUCUACCUAUUUAUAUUAUUUAGAUAAUAAUCACAAUAGAUAUAUAUUUAUAACAAUAGCCAAAGGAUAUAUUAGAUGUAGACUAUCUCAGUAUAGUAUAUUAGAAUAUAUUUGACAAGUUUCAUAUAUUUCUACAAAUAAAAGUACAUCUUGAUAUAUAUUUUUCCACUGAUAUUAUUCUUUGAAUUUAGCAAAAGUAGCCCAAAUUUUCCUAUAGCUUACCUAUAUACUAUUAUAAAAUCUUUUUAGUAGUUUUUGCUAUUCUUUUUUUUUCCUAUCACUCAUUGUAGCAUUUCAAUUUCUUUCUUUGAUGUCUUCCAUAAAAAUCCUUCUUGAAGCAAAAAUCCAUAUGUUUUUUUUUUUUUUUUUUUUUUUUUUUUAAAUUUUUUUUAUAGACCAAUUUUCUUAUUUAGUCAAGAUUUUCUAAUAAAAACUAAUAUUUAAUAAUUCUCCUCAUACAGCUCUUCAAAAAACAUCUUAUUUUCCUUGCUAAGAUAUAAUACUAAAUAGAAUUUUGAUCUUACAUCAUCAAUGUCUUCAACUAUCUCAUCUUCUCUUUUAUAUUUAACUUGAGAUAAUAUGUCUACUACCAAAUUGUCCUUUCUAGUAACAUACCUAAAUUUUAGAUUUAAUGAUUUUAUAUGAGCAAUCCAUCUUAACAUUGUAAUAUUACAUACUGAAUAAUUCAUAAUCAUCUCCAGUAAUAGUAAGGAAUUUAUUUCAAUUACUACCACUGCACGAAUCAAAUAAUCUUUUUCAACUUUCAUAGCUAAAAUAACUUCCCAUAGUUCUCUUUUGACUUGAGAAUAUGCAUGUUGAUGUGUAUUUAAUUUUUUAGCUCUAAAUUGAAUUACAAAUUUACUUCCACUUAAAUCAUUUUGAUCCACAAUCCAUCUAAUAGUAAGAAGACUAGUAUCUAAAGGAAUUAUUACUUGCCUAUUACAUUCAUAAUUAAUUCUUCUUAAAAUUGGAAGUAUCAAUAAUAACACUUUUAACUUUUGUAUUGCUUUAGUAUGCUUUCUUUUUUAUUUAAAUCGACAAUUCUUGCAUAAUAAUUCAUAUAAUGGAUCCACUAUAUGAGCAUAAUAAGGAAUUUAUAUAUAAUAAAAUACAUAAGUUCCUAAAAACCUAUGUACUUUUGAUAAAGAAUUACAUGUAUCUUUUAUUCUUCAAAUUGCAUCAACUACUUGGAUCCAAUUUCUUCUUAUAAAAUCUACACUAUUGCCUAACAAUAAUAAUUUCUUAUAUUCUAAAUUUAGAUUUUUUUUCUAAAAGUAUAAAAUAAAUUUCUUCAAGUCGAGUUUAAAUCUUUUCACAAUCUUAUACAUGAUCAAUAAUAUACUUGUGACACUUCAAAGGCAAAUGAUUUAUCUCAUUUUGUAAGCAUUUUUUUAAAUAUUUAAUUUUUGUUAGUAAUAAAGAACCAUUACAUCAAAUCUUUAAUUCUUCAAAAGUCUCUUUUAUAAAUUGAUGUCCAAUAUUCUUUAGAUUUUUUAAACUUACUUCUUUAGAUGCUUCUUCUAUUUCUUUCAUAGAAUCAUUUGAUAAAGAAUUGGUAAUAAGUUUCACUUUCUUAUCUAUUGUUUUAUAUUUUGUCUCAAUAAUCACUUCUAGUGCUUCAAAAGAUUUAAGUAUAAUAUAAACCUCCUUUGAAUGAAUUUUCAUAAUCUUAUGAUCAUUUCUUAAUCCAAUAGAUGUAAUUAACCUCCAAAAAUCUUCCAAUCCAUUUUUUUCAUAUACACCUAAAAUCCUUUCAUUAACUUUUAAUGUCCUUAAUCUAUAUAAUUUCCCUUUAAUAUUAUAUAUUAUUUUUUUUUCUUUUCUUUUUGAAUCUUUAAUUUUUUUAUAUAUAAUAUUUCUAUUUAAAAAAAUAUUAAUAAAACUUAUAUCAAAGGCAUCUAUAUCUUGCUAGAGUACCUCCUCUUUUGUACCUCUAUAAUCUUGUUUUCUAGUAGUACUUUUCCAAAAUCCUUAAAUUCUUCAAAAACUCUUGGCAAUGGCUUUUUCUUCAAUCUAACUUGAUUUUGCUCCUGAUAAAAAGGUUCAAUUAGAAAUUGUACCACUUUCUUUCUAUCUUUAAUAUAUAUCUGUGUAUAAGCUGAAUCAUCAUUAAUAACUUUUGUUUCCAUCCAUGUCACCAUUGUCAUAUAGAGUGAUUUGCUAUCUCAGAAUACACUGGGUAUUUAGCUAUAGAGAGUUUAGCUUAAACUUUUAUAUGUAUCUUGUCUUAGCUUCCAAAAUUCAUUUAUUUUGUAUAAAAUUCAAAAUAUAACAAAAUCUCUUCAAAACAUAUUUUGUUCGCAAAAGAUUUUCUCUUCCUGAAUGUUAAAAAUUCAUAACUCUUGAUCCAACUGUUCAAUUUGUCUCAAACUUAUUGAGUAGGUAGAAUUUAUCCUUAAAUUUUACUUCAAAAGAAAACCAACUGCAAAAUCACUUUUGAUCUUUUGGCAUCUAAGAAAUCCUAGUAGAUGCUUUAAACCCUAAUUUACAAGCACCCAAGCACUAUUUUCUUAAUAUCUCAAGAAUCCAAUACUCAAAUACUAUCAAACUUAUGUAUAAAGUUUAUUAACAUGAAUAUACAUAUUCUUUGAAAUUUUGAGCCAAAUCUUAUCAAAUUUCUCAAGAUAUAGCUCAAGACACAACCACUAGUAAAUCGGGUCACUUAUUACCCUUAGAUUGCAUUUAUUGACUUCAAAAUCCAAUAAGUCCUUCACUAUAACUUAGAAUCCAGCAAGCAGUAUGUAAAAAAUAUAGCCACAAAAGUAUUCUUUCUAGUCGUAGUUACUGAUCUUUAAUUGCCUUCCGUAUACGUGUAUUACAUAAAAAAUAGUGAUAUCUAAGUAAGAGCCAUGUGGCGAUGUCCUAUAGGACCUCCAACAUGUGUUGACUUUACUAGCCACAUGUCUUAUCUUGCAAGGCAAGUUAUUUAUGUAUGUGCCAUGUAGUUGGCUUGUUCCACAAGUUACUACACAGAGGUAACUUAUUCCAUAAGCUACCAAUACAUGGUUAGCUUUUUGGCCAAGUUUCUAACCUAUGAACACAUCUAAAAUCAAAACCACAUCUAUGAAGCUUCUAAGAAGCUACUCUAGAAGACUUUAUGAAAUUAUUCUAUUUUACCUACUUCUACUUAAUCAUAUAAGUAACUAUUGAGGUAAAUAUAUAUGUCUGUGAUAUUAUCCCCCAUUCUACAGACGAGUUCUACGAGGAGCGAUCUUCAUAUGUUGAGGAAGUUCAAGAUGCGGCAAAUUAUAUUUGCUACAUACUCCAAUCUUUGCUCUCUUUGAAGAUAGUUGAUAGGUCUUCUCAACCAUCUAUAGUGUCCCAUACCAAAGUGAGAAGACCACCUUCUUAUUUGGUCAUUGUUAAGGCCUUCAUAACUUCCUUUAAAUGAAACAUUUGGAACAUCGUCAGGAGUAGUUUCUACCUCUAAUAAAAUCACUAAACAUCGGAAUUUUCUUCCAAGGUUGUGAUACCAAACACGUUGUAUCUCGCCAUCUAUUCAAAGAAGAAUAUGUCAUUCUUGAGGAUCUUUAUCUCGAUUCUGUUGUCUUGAAGGUUGUGACAAUCAUAAUGUCUCAUUUGAUAAGUCCGCAAAUGAAAGCUCUUGAAUUGAAUCUGCUUGAUAUUAGUGCUCCAUCUCAUCACAAAUACAUAGAAGCUACAAUGAAAGAUAGAAGGUAGAAUGUUAUUUUCAUUUGAUCUUGUUUCUUUUAUAGCAAAGGUUUGCUAUUCUUCAUCUUGAUUUUGAUGGAUGUCGUUGAUGAAAGACUUCAACUUUCUUUACUGCAUUUGUAAGAUUCUUUGAUGGCUCCCAUGUACAUUCACUAAUAUCGUAUCCACGCUAAUGAACAAGAUAUUCCAACCUAUUUUGGCACCACCUUGAGUCUAAGACUUCUUUCACUUCAAACUUUUAGUUAUUAUCCACUUCUAUAGGAGGAGGUGGCAUUUGUCUUCUUCCCAAGAUAUUCAUUGUUUUAUACAGCUCCAGAAGAGAUACGUGAAAUAUAAGGUAGAUCUUUAUAGACUUCGGUGUGGUGUUGUGGUUCGGCUAUUAUAUAAAAAUAAUGUAAUUAUGUACUUAAUAUAUAAUUUAUUAAACAAUAUGGUAAGAGCUAUGUUAGUAGAUUUUAGUUGGUUGUAGAUUAUAAUUUGGUUAUUAUCAUGAGAAGAGGUUGUUUAAAAAGACUACUAUAGAAUUUUUAUAACUUUAAUUUUCUUUUUGUUAGUGGCUUUUAAGAUUGGUUUAGUUCAUAGUAACUUCUAAAUAUUUAGAGUUACCUUUGUUAGACAUUGGUGAUCUUUGAAAACUUCUUUUGAUUCUUUUAUUUGGUGUUUAGAGUAUAAAUUAUAUAAAUCUUAUAAGAAAAAGGAUUGAAGAAGGAUUUUGGUAGCAAAGGGAGUAAAUAGGGCACCAAUAUAGAUGAAUGGAGAUGAAUGAUGAAAAUCUCCAUUCCUAUUGGUCAAAAAUCAUGACCAAUGGGCUUUGAGGAGGCUAUACGAGGCCAUAUUAGGCAUUAGGAUUAAUUUCUUGGGCCUAUUCGAAUUUUGAAGGCUAGGGUCAAAAGGUUAAGGUUUUUGGCUAUGGUUUUGGUACAAGUUUUGUAUCAUUUGGGAUUUUUAUGAAGAAGUUAGAGGCGCUCAAAGUUAAGGUAUUAGUUUUGGAUCUAUUGUCACUCUUUUGGGCAUAACACAUGCAUACAGAUAGCAAUUGAGGAUCAACAACUGCGAUUGAAGAGAGCACUUUUGCAGCUAUAUGUUUUAUAUACUAUUUAUUGGAUUCUAAGUUGAAAUAAAGGAGUUAUUGGAUUUUGAAGUUAGUACUUGGAAUCUAAGGAUAGUAAAUAGCCCGAUUUACUUGUGCUUGUGAUUUGAGCUAUAUCUUAGACAAUUUGACGAGGUUUUGGGUCAAAAUUUCUAAGAUUGUGUAUAAUCUUGUUAUAUAGCUUUCUACAUAAGUUUUGUAGAAUUUGGAGUUUGGAUUUUUGAGAUAUAAGGAAAAUAGUUUUUUAGGUGCUUGUAAAUUAGGGUUUAGAGUGCCUGCUAGGAUUUCUUACAUGCCAGAAGAUCAGGAGUGAAUUUGCAAUUAAUUUUUUUGUGGUAAAAAUUAAAGGUGAAUUCUACCUAUCCUAUAAAUUUGAGACAAACUAAAUGGUUAGAUCAAUAGUUAUGAUUUUUUAAAGUUUGAGACAAGAAAACCUUUCGUGGAAAAAAUAUAUUUUGUAAGAAUUUUGUUAUAUUUGGAGUUUUAUACAAAAAUAAAGGAGUUUUGGAAGCUAAGACAAGAAUCAUAUAAAGGUUUAAGCUACACUCUCUACAGCUAGAUAUCCAGUGUAUUCUCAGAUAGCAAAUCAUGCCAUAGAAUAUCGGUAGAUGUAAUCAAUAGGCAACAGAAUUGAUUUGUUCACAAAUAGAAAAAGGUCUAAGCCUACGAUAAUCUAAUUUAUCACAAGGACAAGUAAUCUUGAUAUUAUGAUGAAGUAACCAUAUCUUGUUGCCCAUAUUAUAUUGUGAUUACUCCUAGCAAUAGGCAUCUACGUUGGUCUUUUGUCGUUCUUAAGCUUCCUUUAAUUGUAUCUUCAUUGUUGUAUGUAGCUCUAACAAGCGAUUUGCUAAAUCUUCUGCCAUAGGAUUAUCAACUUUUGAAAAGUCAAAAGUAUCAAGAAGUAGAUGAUGACCAUAAUUGGUAAAAAAAGAUAUUUAUUGAGUGAAAGAAUAUACCAAAUUAUUAUAUGCAAACUUUGCCAAUGGUAAAAGAGUUGUCCAAUCAUCUUGAUGAUAGUUGAUGGUACAUCUCAAAUACUGCUUCAAAACUUGAUUUAUCUGUUGUAUUUGUCCAUAAGUUUGAGAAUAAAAAGCUGAAGAAAGCUUUAUAUCUACCUUUAGAAUCUUGAAUAGGAUUCUCCAAAAUCUUGAUACAAAUUGAGUCCCCCUAUCCGAUAUAAUAUCCUUUGGUAAUCCAUGAUAGCAAUAGAUAUUGUUAAUGAAAAGCUUAGUUGUUUCUUCACCUAAGAUAGAUUUUAUACAUGAUACAAAAUGUGCCAUCUUGAUAAAAUGAUCUACUAUCACGAAUAUAGAGUCAUAAGAACUUGAGAUUGAAAGAUCCGUGAUGAAAUCUAUAGAAGCAGAAGACCAUGGUUGUUCUGGAAUAGAUAAUGGCUGAAGAAGUCCAUAAGAUCGAUGACAAGGAGUUUUUGAUCUUGAGCAAAUAUCACAAGAUUGCACAAAAUCUUUGACUACCUUCUACAUUUGCAGCCACGAAAAAUCCCUUGAUAUUAGUUCCAAAGUUUUAUUGUAUCCAAAAUAUUUUGCUGUUGGAAAGUUAUGACGAGCUUGAAGAAUACGUAAUUGGGCUUCAUCUUCUGGAACAUAUAGGCAUCCUUCGAAAUAUAAUAGAUUAUUCUUGAAUUCAAACUUAGAAGUAUCAUGAGACUUAGAGGAAGUAUCCUUGAUAUCCUGAACAAGAGGAUUAGAGGACAUGCUUGAUUGAAUUUUCUUUACAAAUAUUGAAUCAACAGUCAAUGUUGAUUUUAUAGCUCAAAGAUGAAAAUGCUCGGGCUUCAAGAGAAUUGAUCUUUGUUGAUCAAAAGAUGCAUCUCCUUUUUUUGGUGCAAGAUAAGAACAUCUAGAAAGAGCAUCUGAUAGACCUUGUUAUUUUUUGAGUUGAUAAGUAAUCUUGAAAUUGAAUCUAAAUAAAAAUAUGCUUCAACGGGCUUGACGACGAUUCAAGACAUGUGCUGACAUGAAGUACUCGAGGUUCUUAUGAUUUGUAUAUAUGGUAAUUGGACUUGAGGUGCCUUCUAGAUAAUUAUGCCAUUCUUGAAAUGAAUCCAUGAUUGCAAGGAGCUCUUUGUCAUGGAUCUCAUAAUUAAUCUCAGUUGCUGAAAAUUUCCUCGAAUGGAAAGCUAUUGGAUGGAGUUUGCCAUCCGUUCCCAUUUAUGACAACACGACAUCUAUAGCAAAAUUUGACGUGUCUAUUUCCAUAAAAAAUAUCUUGGAGAAGUCAACGGAAUAUAAGAUUGAUACAAAAAUAAAUUCUUUCUUUAAAGCAUCAAAUAAUGCUUAUACUUCUUUAUUCCACUUAAGUUUGUCUUUACAAGUCAAACGUAGAAGUUGAGCUACAACUUGAAAAACAUUCUUGAUGAAGAUUUGAUAGUAAUUAAUAAAGCCUAAAAAACAUUGCAUAUCUCAUACUGUUCUUGGAAUCUUCCAAUCUAUGAUAGUUUGAACCUUCUUGGGAUCUAUUAUAAGGCCUUCGUUGGAAAUGAUGUAUCCUAAGAAGUUAACUUGAGUAGUGUGGAAUACACACUUUUCUAAUUUGACAUAUAAUCUUACAUUUCUAAGUUUUUGUAACAUGCGACAAACAUGAAGCUCAUGUUCUUCUGUGUUCUUAGAGUAGAUUAGAAUGUCGUCUAAAUAGCAAACAACAAAAUCAUCUAAAAACUCACAAAAAAUAUCAUUCAUAAGAUGCUGAAAAGUAGCUAGUACACUCGUAAGUCCAAAAAGAAUGACAUUAUAUUCAAAAUCUCCAUACCUAGUUCGAAAAUUAGUCUUCCAUUCAUCUCUUUAUUUGAUAUGAACUAAGUUGUAUGAUCCUUGUAGAUCUAUUUUGAUAUAGAUCUUUGCUUGAUUGAGUUGGUAAAGAAGUCUUGAAAUCAAAGGCAAAGAAUACCUAUUUUUGAUAGUGAUCUUCUUGAGUCCUCGAUAAUUGUUGUUCUCGUUGUGUUCAAGCUUCAAUAUACCAAAGCAAUUAAACUAAUAGAGGUGGAUUCGAACACGGUGUCAUACUGUAAAUACUUACAGUAUGUAAAAUUUAUUUAAAACAUAUUAUAUGUUGAUAAAUCUAGAUGUGUAUUAGAGUGGCUAGUAGAUUAAAUUAAAAGGAGUUAGUAUAAGAAACUUUACUUUGUUUCAUUACUUGUUUUGAUUUUGAUAUUAAAUAUAUAUAUAUAUAUAUAUAUAUAUAAGACCUAAAUGUUUAGUAUGAAGCCUUGGGAGAAGGUGGAAGCCUGAGGAUGAAAAUCUAAACUAGUAGGAGGCUAAUUGGGAGGGAUGAAAGCAAGGCAUGGUCGGAUGAAGGCAAGGAAUGGAGAACUUCAUCCCUAUUGGUCGAAUUCCAUGCCCAAUGGGCUUUGAGGAGGCUGCCUGCGACCUUAAGAAGGGUUUCAGUGACUUCAAAAAGAAGAAUUCGGAGAUUAGAAGCUAGUGUUGUAAAGUUCAGGAUUUGGGGUACAAUUUGUGUAUAAAAAUUAGAGGAUUUGGAGUUAGGGUGAAGAAGUUAUAGCCAUUUGAAGUUAAGGUGUUUAUUUAAGACAUACUAUUACUUUUUUGAGAGUACGAGGAGUUUUACAGCAGCUUUUGAAGAUCGGAAGGUGCGACUAGAACAGCGAUUUCAAGACCUACAUCUUUCAUGAAAAAGUUAUUGCUUUUGGAGUUCAUAUAAAGGAGUUGUAAGGAGUUGAAGGCGGCACUUUCAAAUCAAAAGUAGUAAGUAAGCGGAUUUGUUUGUAGUAAUGGUUGGAGCCAUAACUUAAAUUUUCGGACGAAUUUUUGGCUCAAACUUUUUGGAGAAUGUAAAAUUUUGUGUUAAAAAGCUAUACAUACAAAUUUCAUGGAAUUUGAGCUUAUAUUUUGUGAGAUAUGAAGAAAAUUGCACGUGGAUGUAUAAAAACAAGGGUUUGAAGUGACUAUUAGGGUUUUCAAGAUAUUUUAAGAUCUGCAACGAAUUUGCAGUUGAAAAUUGUUGUAGAAGUUAAUAAGAAUACAUCAUUACCUCAUGUAAAAUUUGAGUUUAUUUGGAUGGUCGGAUUAGGAGAUAUGACGUGUUGAAGUUUGGAAAAAUCUCCAUAUAAGAAUAAACAAGGUUUUAGAAGAUUUUAUCAUAUUUUGGAAGUUGUGGGUUACUUGAGGAUUGUGUAUUUGGUGUAAUUACUCAAAAAGAAAAAAAUUAUACAUAAACUUAGGGAUUUCCUUAUUUUCAAGUUUGAUUGAAUAAUUAGUAAUAGCCAGAAGCCCAACAUUUUCUUGAGGUAAACUCUCUCUACUCCGACAUAUUGUUGCUUCCACUGAGAGAACCUUAAGGCACUGAUUUUUUUCAACAAGUUGAAAUGGAGGAUCAAAAUCCAGGGUUUGGGUUAUCAAGAGGAGUGGAUGCCCAUGAUUUAUUCAAGGCAUUUGGUCAAUUUAUGGAAGAAAGGCAACAAUUGUAUGGAGAUGAUAGAAACACUACUAAGGCCUUACAAGUAGUAGUGGAUAAGGUUGGGAGAUUUGAUGGGAGGAAUAUUACCAAGUUCUUAAGGAUUUACACAUGUGAAAUUGAGGUGCAUCAAGUUUUAGAGAUGAAGAUGAUUACCACCUUUGAUUUGGCAAUGGUACCAGAAAUUAGAGAAAGGGUGUAAGAGUUACAUACUGAGACUAUAUCAUGGAAGAAAUUUGAAGAACUCUUGAAAGAUGAAUUUUUUGAAGAAGAUUCAGAAAGAAUGACAAGACAGACUUUUUUGGAGUGGAUUGAGUAAAGGCCAGGGAAUCAAUUGGCUUCAAAUGAAUUAAUCAGGGAAUUUGAGACCAAGUUUUGGCAAUUACCACGGCAAGAGAGGCAGCUCUUCGAAACAAGGAAAACUGGAUUAUUUUUACAAGCAAUUGAUGAAUAUUUGGAAGACAAGCUUCUCUUUUAUCUAGUAGAUAAGACAUCUGAGAGUGGUUUUAUAAAUAAUUGGAAGCUAAUAAAAGAGACUAUGGAACUUUUGGCUAAACAAGAGAAGAUUAAGACUUGUGGUUUAAUAUCGAGAUUGGAACCAGUGUCUACAUUUCAGAAUCAAGGACCACCUCAAAGGAUGAUCAAGAUUGUUAAUGAUGGUACUCUUGAAGAAUUAAUUAAGGGCAUACAAGAUUUGAAGGUAGAAAUGAUAGAGUUGAAGAAAUCCCAAAUAGCAAAUUCAUCAAAGACAAUUGAAGGCUCAAAGGGAUUUGUAGAGAGAUGUAUGUAGUGUGACAAUCCAAAUCACAAGCGAAGUGAAUGUGACAGCUAUAAAGGUGCAAUCAAAGAUGGUAUUGUAUACUUCAAAGAGGGCAGGAUAAGACUCACAGGGUCAGAUGAGCCUUUAAAGACAAAUUUUGAGAAGGGUGGCAUGAAAAAAUUGGUAGAAGAACAAAUAGUAAGAAAUAAUACCAUACAAGGAGAAGAAGCUGAGUCUUACUCUGUUACAAUUGAACAAAAAGUACUUAAGGCUAUUUUCCUACCAACUACAAAAGUCAUCAUCAGAUGAGCUGAAGCUAUCAGAAAAAUGACUGGGUGGAAUGAUCCAGUUGAUGCUAUUAGUAUUAAAGCAUAUUUAUAUGGAGAAAAAUAUGAUGAUGAUUUACACAAUGCCAUGGUUGAAGAAAAAAGAGAUAGAGCUAUUCAUGAAGAAGAUGUUAUUGAGCCUAAAAAUAAGAGGAGGUCUCCAAGAAACAAAGAAGCUUUUAAGGAGCAAAAAUCGGAGAAAAUGCCUUCUUCUACUCAUCUUGGUGGUGCACCAUUACCAAAAGAGUGGUGGGAGAAGAGCAAAGAGAAGGAGAAAGAUGAUGCAAGCAAACCUAAAGAUAAAAAUCCUGCUUAUAAGCUUCAAUCUGACAUUGAAACAUCUACGGUUAUGAAGAGCAUUUUGGAGGGAAAAAUCUUAGAUGCAAAAAUUGAAUUUACUCUGAGAGAGGCUUUUGGUAUAGCUAAAAAGGAUUUCCAUGAAUUAAUCAUCAAUGUGAUAAAGAAGAAGAGACAAAUGAUAGUUGAAGCUAUUAUGUUAGAGGCAUUGGAUACUCGGAUAACUAUGGAUGAGGAAGAAGAGAUAGGGUAGGUAUUUGCUCAAUUUACAAUACCAAAAGCUGGAAUUAAGGUUGAUAUGGAGAAUGAGUCUUUAAAUAAAAAUGAAGAAGCUAUAGAUAAGCAUCAAAUGAAAUGUGCAUCUAUAAAAAUUACUGGGAUAAAGAAGAAUGCAGAAGAAGCAUGUAUAAAUACUUGUUCUAAAUGUGAUAAUGAUGGAAUGGGAAGUAGUAGCUAUUCAGUUCUUUAUAAGGCUAGAGCUACUACGGAGACAUAUGUGAGGUUGGGAGACUCUAAAGAUCCAAUUUUGGCUUUAGUUGAUCAUGGAUCAAAAAUCAAUAUCAUGUUAAGGCGAAUAUAUGAGAAAAAUAAGUGGCCAGUUGAUAACAAUCAUGGUUGGAUAAUUAGAGCUGCAAACAACCAAUAAGGUGAUUUUUAUGGAGCUUGCCCAGCUGUAAGGACUAGAAUUGGAGAUGUGGAAGUAGAGAAAAAUUUCUUCGUACAAAACUCUGCUACAUAUCUAGUAAUAUUUGGUCAAUCUUAUAUUACAGCUGCUAGAAUGGAAACUAGAGUCUUAGAUGAUGGUUCAUAUUAUGCCAGGAUUUGUAGUUGGGAUGGAAGAAAAGUUGUGUAGUUUAUUACUGUGAAACUUAUUCAUGAAAGACAUAGAGAACAAUUAAGAGGGAUGCCUUUGGAGCCAGGAAACAACUUUGUGGAUUUCUAGAAAGCACCCUUGUAGAAUGGGGACACAUGGGUGCAAAUAAGUCAUCUGCAAAUCUCAUUAUAGAUAAUAUGAAUUUUGGAUUUUAAACUUGACUAGUAAUGGAUUUGUGAAUAUUCGAAAGUUUAAAGAUUUAGAUUCUGUACUUAGAAGAAGGGUGAAGAAACAAGAGAAAAACUUAAAAAGAGUGGGUUUAGUUUCAAGUGAUGAAGCCAUAGUUGAAAUAAUAGAAGAAAUAGGUUUGGAAGAUGAUUUGAUUAAGAUUCUCGAGAAUUUAGCUAUAAGCAUAGAUGGAAAUGCUAUAGUAGAAAUAUAUUGAAGAGAGACUUAUGAAGAAUUAGAAAAGAUAGUGGUAAUUGGUGGACUUGCUACAAGCUAUGGAUUGAAGCAUGAAACUAGAAUACAAACUAAAUAUAAAGCUGUAGCAAGAAAGGUAAAGCCUAUAGCUACUCAAUUAUUAGUUGAUAUUAUGGAUUAUAUCAACCAAGCAAUUAAGGAGCUAAAUCUAAGAGAAGGACGUGGAAUUAUGCAUCAAUUUACUCAAGAAUCAUUAACUAAAUUAAAGAUUAGAGGAGGUGAUUUCUUGACAUUAAUGGAGAAAAUUAUAUUUUAAGAAAUGCUUAUUAGGCAUGGUAAGGCAUUUGCCUCAACUCUUGAUGAAAUUAGAUGUGUAGGUCCUAAUGUUGUAGUAUCUAUGGUAAUCUUUACUAUGCCGCAUGUUCCAUGGAAUUUAAAGCCUAUAGCUGUGCCUAGAACUUUACUUCCAAAGUUGAUAGAACUAUUAAAAGAGAAGGUAAAGAUGGGUAUUUUAGAACCUUCAAUUACUCCCUAUUCUAAUAGAUGGUUCACAGUACCCAAGAAAUCAGGGGCAUUAAGAUUUAUUUAGAAUAUGCAACCUGCAAAUAGAGUAACUAUUUGAAAUAUGGGAUCAGGUCUUGUAGUAGAUGAAGUGGCUGAAUAAUUUGCAAGUCUUGCCAUCUAUUCUAUUGGAGACUUAUAUUCUGGAUACAACCAAUUUUAAUUGGCUAAAGAGAAUAGGGACUUAACUACGAUUAAGAUUCUUUGGGGUUUAAUGAGGAUAUGUACCUUACCUCAAGGUGCAACCAACUCAGUGGUUCAUAUGCAAAAUGCUAUGAACCAAAUAUUGAAAGAAUUUAUUCUUAAAAAAACCAUACCAUUUUUGGAUGAUAUACCUAUAAAAGGAGAUAAAGAAGAAGACAAGGAUGAGACUAUGGAGGUUGAAGGUUGUAGGAAGUUUGUUAAAAGGUAUAUUGAAGAUGUAGCUCAAAUAUUGGAGAAAUUGGAAUCAGUUAAUCUCACAUUAUCUUUGGAAAAAUCAAGCUUUGGAAUUGAUGUGAUUUUAGUGGUGGGACACAUGUAUGGCAGGUAUGGUAGGAAAUCAAACCCUUAUAAAAUUGAUGCUAUAUCUAGAAUGAAGGCUUGUAAAAAUAUUACAAAAGUCAGAAGAUUUUUAGGAGUAUGUGUAUUCUAUCAUAUUUGGGUGCUUCACUUUGCCCAUAUCUGAGAGCCACUAUAUAAGUUAUUAAGGAAGGAUAAGAGAUUUGUUUGAGAAGAAGAACAAAAAAUAGCUAUGGAAAACCUAAAAAAGAUGUUGAGUUCACCACUUGUAUUUAGACAAGUGGAUUAUCAAUGUGAAAGACCAGUGGUUGUAAUAGUGGAUACAAGUCCUAUAGCAAUUGGAUGGGCUAUUGGACAAGAUGAUGUAGAAGGGAAAAGAUUUGCUAUAAGGUUUGGAGCUAGGAUUUUUACAAAGAGGCAAAGGACUUAUCCACAAGUUAAAAGAGAGCUUUUGGAAGCACUCACCGCUUUAAAGGUUGAGAGGAAUUAUUUGAUUGGAGUAAGUAUGGUUUUGGAAACAAAGUGUUUGCCAUUAGUUAGAAUGAUAAUUAACUGUAUUACUUUAGAUAUUGCCAUGUUAAGAUGGAUAGCCUACAUAAGAACAUUGAAUCCUAUUUUAGUACACAUCAUUGGCAAAGAAAACUUGGUGGUGGAUAUGUUGUCUAGAGCUAGAUAUACCUUCGAAGAAGAAAUGAUGGUAUACCAAGGAGGUAAAGAUCAAGAAGAGAAGAGUUAUGGAAAUUCAUUUGCUACUAGUGGAAUGGAUUUUGGUGAUAAGGUUCAAAAAUUCUAUGAAAGUUUGUAUGAAGGCAGAUUGAAGGAUAUUAAAAUUUAUUUAAGCAUAAUGAAGAAACAAGAAAGAUGGAUGGAUAAAACCUUUAAAGAUAUUAGACAUCAAUCCUAUGGUGAUUUUCUUAGAAAUGGAUUCCUAUGGAAGAGGCCAAAAUAAGGUGAUAAAAUCCUAUUGAGAAUAGUAGGAGAUCUUGAAACUAAGUUUAAGGUUUUAAGAGAAUAUCAUGAUACACUUUGGGUAGGGCAUAGAAGAGUUUGGGCUACAUAUACCAAGAUCAAGGAAAGGUAUUGGUGGAAGGGUUUAUACAGGGAUGUAGAAGACUUUGUGAGCUCCUGCAUAGAGUGUCAACUACAAUCUAAAGUUAGGUACAGAGAUGGAUUACAUCCUACUUAUCUACCUUUAAUAUAUUUUCAAUGGGUGAUUGAUUUGGUAGCUAUGCUAUUAGGACUUUGGGAUAUGAAAUAUUUGAUUUUGGCAAGAGACGAGCUAUCAAAUUAUUUUGAAGAGAGGGCUUUGAGAACCAAGACUACAAAAGUAAUAUGCAGAUUUAUAUUAGAAGACAUCUUUAGUAGAUAUAGUAGCAUUGGGAGGAUGUCACAGACAUAGAAAUAUACACUCGAGAUCUAACAAGAAGUUCAAGAAGAACUGGCAAGAACUAGAUUAAUCAGAUGAGAACAAUACUAGAGAGGUGAGUUAGAGCUCCAAGAGAUGUGUUGUCGAGACUGAAGAACUCUUCAGCCUUGAUUCCAAUAUAUACUUCUAUUUAGGAAGCUUUUCACGCAACUUCUACCAACUAGGAAGCUUCUAGAAGGUUCCAGAGACUUACUUCUAGAAGGUUCUAGAAACUUAUCUCUUGAAGGUUCUAAGGGCUAUGUCCCUAAUAUCUUCUACCAACUAAGAAGCUUCUAGAAGGUUCUAGAGACUUGCUUUUAGAAGGUUCUAGAAACUUGUCUCUAGAAGGUUCUAAGGAUUAUGUCCCUAACAUCACCCCCUCCUUUAGCUUCGAGGUCUCUAAGAAGGAAUGCUGUUGAUCAGUACCAAUGCAAGAAAAUGAAGAUCUGUCACAUAACGUCUGCUAUAAACUCCAACUGUUGUUCACGAGGCAAGUAGUUCAUCGACCCUUGAAGCCAACGGUAGUGGCCCACUCCUUCAAUUUUUGACCAAGCAUGAACUUCCGUGUCCUCAUUAUAAAAUUGUCCUCCAAAUACACCUUCUGGCUGACCAUCGUAAGCAAGUUUGGACUCAAAUACAAUCACCAGUGAUCGGUUACUCGAUAUCCUUUGUCGUUGUCGUGGUGUAGGCAGUUCUUUAUCUCGGGGUCACCUUCGUGAGCUAGUCGGUUGAGAUAAUCUGACUGGCAUUGUAUCUAUCUCUUGGCUAUCUAUAUCAGAAGACCAAACUAUGGCUACUAAAAAAAUUCUAUUUUAUCUUGAAGAAAAUAACUACAUCAACUACGAAUUUUGGUGGUGCUCUCUCCCUUUCUUAUAUUCUUGGGUGAGCAAGCUUCAGAAAGAAGCUAUCGUCAAACCGGCUUAGGUUUAUGAGGAUGUUGUUGAUGAAACUCCUGUACCUUUUGCGACGCAUUGACGAGAUUUUCAGCUGGCUCCCACGUUCGCUCAUUAAUAUCGUAGCCGCACCAAUGAACAAGAUACUCUAACUUGCCCCACCUUUGCCGUAAAUCUAGUACCUUUUCAACCUCGUAUUCCUCGUGGUUCUCAAUCUCAAUACUAGGUGGCGGACAUUGUACUCUUUUAGGAAAAGACAACUCUCGAUAAGGCUCUAACAGAGAAAUAUGAAAGAUUAGAUGUAUCUUCAUAGAAGUCGGUAAUUCCAGAAGGUACGCCACUAGAUUGAUUUGCUUCUGGAUGAUAAAUGGUCCCAAUCUUUGAUAGUCCAACUUAUCACAUGGUCGCUUGGUCUUGAUAUUCCGUUGAAGAAGCCAUGUUUUAUCUCCAAUUUUGAAAGUAGGUGCUUGAUUUCGAAAUCUAUCUGCAGACGCCUUGUAGGAUUCUUGAGCGGAUUGUAAUUGAAGCUUCAACGUAUUUUAAAGCUCUGAUAGUUGUUUCGUAAAUCCUUCAGCUACUGGAUUGUUAUUUGUUGACGGACUCAAUAAAUGAAGCUUCGGAUGAUAUCCAUAGUUGAAAAAGAAUGGUGUGUAUUGAGUCGACGCAUGGAGGGUGUUGUUAUAUGCAAACUCGGCUAGCGGCAAAUAUGUGGUCCAAUCGUCUUACUGAUAGUUGAUACUGUAUCGUAAGUAUUCUUCCAAGACUUUGUUCACCCGUUCCGUUUGGCCAUCAGUUUGAGGAUGAAAAGCUGAAGAAAGCUUAAUAUCCACCUUCAGUAUCUCAAAGAGAGAUCUCCAAAACUUUGAUACAAACUGGGUUCCUUGAUCUGAUACGAUAUCAUCUGGUAGUCCAUGAUAUCGAUACACAUUAUCAAGAAAGAGCCUUGCUGUGACUUCACUGGACGAUGUCUUCUUGCAAGGAACAAAGUGCGCCAUCUUUGUAAGCCGAUCUACCACGAAAAAGAUGCUGUCAAAUGAGUUCGAUGAUGGAAGGUCCGUGAUGAAGUCCAUGGAAACUAAUGACCAUAGUCGACAUGAAAUCGGCAAUGGCUGUAGGAGUCCAUAAGGGCGAUGUCGAGGAUUCUUGGAUCUUAAACAGAUGUCGCAGGAGAGGACAAAAUCUUUCACAUCCUUCCACAUUUGGGGGCACUAAAAAUCUCGAGAAAUAAGCUCCAAGGUCUUCUUGAAUCCAAAAUGUCCCGCAACUGGAAAAUCAUGGCGAAAUUGAAGAACUCGGAGUCGUGCUGGUCCUUUUGGAAUAUACAACUGCUCUUCAAAGUAUAAAAGAUCUUCCUCCAUCUUGAAUUUUUUGUCAUUGGCACGCUGCUUGAUAUCAAUGGCUAUUGAAUCUUUAAUGGUUGUGGCACGUACCUGAUUCAAGAAGUCAGCAUCAAUUGGCACAAUAGUAGCGCAAAGCCAAAAUUGCUCUGGCUUCAACAAUAUCGUACAUUGUUGAUCAAACGCUGCUUCUCCAGCCUUUGAUACAAGAUAUGAUCUCCUCAAUAAGGCAUCAGAUAGUCCUUGCUGCUUUUCAAGUCGAUAAGUGAUAAUAAAAUCAAACCUAGAUAGCAACAUAUUCCAUCGACCUUGACGUCGAUUUAGAACUCGAGCCGACAUGAAAUACUCCAAAUUCUUGUGAUCUAUGUAUACGGUCACUGGGUGUGCAGCUCCUUCAAGAAAAUGAUGCCAUUCUUGGAAAGAAUCCACUAUAGCAAGAAGUUCCUUAUCGUGGAUCUCAUAAUUGAUUUCAGCAGCAGAGAACUUUCGAAAAUAGAAUGCAAUGGGAUGGAGCUUCUUGUCUUCUUCCAUUUGUAAAAGUACAACUCCCAAAGCAAAAUCCGAAGCAUUAGUUUUUAAAUAAAAGGCCUUUGUAAAGUCUGGAUGUACCAAGAUUGGAGCCGUAGUAAAUGCAAUUUUUAGGCCUUGAAAUGCCUUCUCUACUAGAGGUCCCCAUUCCAGCUUAUCCUUGCAUAUCAACUGAGUGAGAGGAGCAGCAACUUGAGAGUAAUUCUUGAUGAAGAUCCGAUAGAAGUUGGAAAAGCCAAGAAAGCAUUGUUCAUCUCUCACCAUCUUUGGAACCUCCCAAGACACGAUUGCUUCCACCUUCUUGGGGUCCAUCUUCAAGCCUUCCGUAGUCGCAAUGAAUCCCAAAAACUCCAUCUCUAUUUAGUGAAAUAAACACUUCUCCAACUUGGCAUAUAGUCCUCGCUCGCGUAGUUUUUCUAAGACCAAACGAACGUGCUUUUCAUGCUCUUCUUCAUUUUUGGAGAAUAUCAGAAUAUCAUCCAAAUAGAUGACAACAAAAUCGUCAAGGUACUCUUGAAAAAUGUCAUUCAUCAUAUGUUGAAAGACCGUUGGAGCAUUGAUAAGACCAAAGGGCAUGACAUUAUACUCAAAAUGGCCAUACCUUGUACGGAACACUGACUUCCAUUCAUGUCCUUCCUUGAUUUGUACAAGGUUGUAACCUCCCUUUAGAUCAAUUUUUGUAAAAAUCCUUGCACGUCUAAGUUGUUCUAAGAGACCAAAAAUCAAAGAUAACGAGUAACGAUUCUUCUUUGUUACCUUCUUGAGGCCUCGAUAGUCCACGCAAAUCCGCAAUGAGCCAUCUUUCUUCUUCACAAAUAAGAUGGGUGCUCCAGUUGACGAUUUUGAAUGACAGAUGAAGUUCUUGGCUAGAUUCUCGUCGAUGUACUUCCGCAACUCCACCAAUUCUGUCUGCGAUAGAUUGUAGAUUGGGCCAAAAGGUGGUUGUGCUCCUUCUUGUAAGUCUAUGGCACAAUCAUAUGGUCUGUGUUCCAGUAGUAUGUCAACAUUUUUCUUUUGAAACACGUCUUUAAAAUCCUUAUAUUGCUCCGAUAUACUUGUUGUCGAGAUCUUCUCCACGGUAGUUGAAGCCGCAUAAAUGACAAAUAGUGUGCCUUCCUUGGACGAUCUUAUAAACGCUCUUGCUCCAAUAAAUAAGGAUUUCUCUAUUCGGGGUUUUCUACUUGGCAUGCUCUUGGAUGGUUUUGUGGGAAAGAUCAUCUUCCGCAACUUCCAAUCUAUGGAUGGGUUAUGCUUUUUCAACCAGGAAAGACCAAGAAUAACAGGAUUUGAUAGGGUUCUAAUAAUAUUGAAAAUAAUAUGACUACUAUGGCCCUUAAAUGUCACUUCUAUAGGUUCUAAUUCAUGGGUGACACUACCAGACAAUAAAGGUCAUCCAUCUAUGACCUCAAUGUGAACAGAUUUGGAUUUUUGUACUAAAGGGAUCUUAUGAUGUUUUAUAAAUUCUUCGUCUAAGAAACAAACAGAUGCUCCUGAAUCUAAUAAUGCUAAGGUUCUCAGUUUCUGAGGGCGAAUAAGCAAAGGGAUUGUAAAACAAAGGGCAGGUUGAGUGGAAAGAAAGGAACCUAGUUGUUGUUGCGAUAUUUCACUGUCCAGCCACACGGUUCCUAUUGUGGCUAGGCAUCCUCGUUUUUCUGAAUAAAUGUAUCCCUAGUCUUGAAAAUACGUCAAUUUUGCUUCUUGGGAUAGUUUCCAACUUUGUGGCCUUCUUCACCGCAAUAUAAGUAUAGACCUUGCUCCAUAUGCCACUUUUUUUCUUCUAGAGUAAGGGAUUUGACACGUACUGCAUCAAUUUACAUGUCUUCUACUUGUGAAUGUGAAUUCAUACUGCUUGCCGACAUAGUUGGGGCGUGGCAAACUGUACGUUGUCUUGAACAUUGAUCUUAGCGGUGUUGAAAUAAGCAGUUAUUGUAUUUCACAACUUCGCUAAUAGCUUUGUUGAGCGUUUGUAGAUCAAGAAGAGUUAACAGCAAAUCCUUCACAUCAUCCCUUAAAUCCCAAUAGAAUUGACUCAUCAACGCUUUUGCGUCCCAAUUGAUGUCGCAUGCUAAUUGCCUGAAGUCCGAUGCAUAGACUGAUGUAGAGCGCAUCCCUUGUCAUAGUAUCCGGAUCUUUGUUGUAGCUCAUCGAACCUUGUCAUGUUCACCAAAUGCUUUCGCAAAUGCCUCCAAAAAGGUUUCAAAGUUGUUUAGUAUGGACGAUCGUUUCUUAAACAAAGGAGCAAACCAUGAUAGAGCUUAUCUUGUAAGUAAGGUUCCAACAAGCCCAACACAUGAGUCCUCCGUUGGAUAGCGUUUGGGCUGUAAAACUGUUAUCAACCUGAUUUGAUUGACAAAUCCUCGAAACUUAGAACGCGUACCAUCGAACUUGUCCGGAAGACUAACUCGGGGCUCCUUAUGUUGUAGAACCAGCGGUGCUUAUUGAACCUGAGGCAAAAUUGCUUCUCCAAGUGUAGAAGUUUGAGGUUGGUGCAACCUAGAUUGUGCCAUCCCAGAUUCUCCAUCAUUAUGAAGCCUUGCCACGACUCCUUUAAUCUCUACAGUUCUUUGCGAUAACGUAGCGAGGGCAUUCAUGAUAGCAUCCAACUUGGACUCCAAACUUUCCGUCAUACUAUUGUCUUGGCCUCCAGCCAUUUUAAGAGAAGGACAGAAAUGACUCUACAAGAAGACAAUAUUGGUUUAGAGGAAGGUACUCCGCAACCUCUAAAAUGCCUUAAGAGCUUCAAGAAAAGGAGUAAUCCACUCUCUCCAAGAAGAAUAAGACUCCAAUAUUGUAACAAAAGAAGUAUCAGUUUAGAAGAGGGUAAUCCGCAACCUCUAAAAUGCUAGUACACUUCCAAGCAGAGGGGUAAUCCACACUCUAAUAUAGAAAAAACUAGCUCUGAUAGCUGAGGUGAAUGUAGUCUCGACAAACUGUCACGGACACAGAAAUACAGACUCGAGAUCUAACAAGAAGUUCAAGAAGAACUAGCAAGAACUAGAUUAAUCAGAUGAGAACAACACUAGAGAGGUGAACUAGAGCUCCAAGAGAUGUGUUGUCGAGACUAAAAAACUCUUCAGCCUCAAUUCCAAUAUAUACUUCUAUUUAGGAAGCUUCUCAAGCAACUUCUAUCAAUUAGGAAGCUUCUAGAAGGUUCCAAAGACUUGCUUCUAGAAGAUUUUAGAAACUUAUCUCUAGAAGGUUCUAAGGGCUAUGUCCCUAAUAUCUUCUACUAACUAAGAAGCUUCUAUAAGGUUCUAGAGACUUGCUUCUAGAAGGUUUUAGAAACUUGUCUCUAGAAGGUUCUAAGGAUUAUGUCCCUAACAAAGGAUGAGAGCUGAUAGAGGAGAAUUAGAUGCUAUUGAAGCAAGAGAAUUUUUCAACAGGUAUGGAGUUCAAUUGAAGUUGACUAUUUCUUAUAAUCUUGAGCCAAUGGAAAGAGUGAGAGAGAUCAUCCUCCUGUCAUUUAUGCAUUGGUUAAGGCAUAUAAAGGUAAGUCAAUUCAAUGGCCUAAACUGCUUCCAUUUGCUUUAUGGGCUGAUAGAACUAUUCAUAGUACUGUCACUGGUUAUAUGCUCAUGGAGUUAAUGUUAGGACAAAAACCUAUGAUGCCAACUGAAAAAAUCUAUCCUACAUGGAUAUUUUUAUCUUGAAAAGAUGAUAUAAAUAGAAAAAGAUGAUUGGAUCUUUGAAUCCAACAUUUGGGUAGGUUACUUGAAGACCUACAAAUUACAGCUGAGAGGUUAAAGAAAGCAAGAUUGAAAAAUAAAGAAAUAUUUGAUAAGACUCAUAGGUUGAUGUCUAAGCUUAUAGAGAUUGGAGACUGGGUUCUAGUUUAUAAUAGCAGCCUUGAGCAUCAACAUAGUACUAUAAAGAAAUUUGCAAAAAAAUAGUUUGGACCAUAUGUGGUGGUUAUAGUCCAUGAUAGUGCCACAUAUACUUUACGUGAGUUAGAUGGAGCUAUCAUAAGGAAUCCAAUAGCAGGGAAGAGGGUGAAGAAUUUCAAAAAAAGAGAUGGGUUAUUUCAAAUAGAAGACAUUCAAGAAUUCUUACCUCAAUAUUUAGACCAAGAAGAUGAAGAAAAAGAGCCUAUGAAUAAUUCAAAGAAAUCUCAAGAAGAUGAAGAGGAAUAACAUGUGGUACAUAUCGGAGGACGUGCAGGUUUGGAGUGGAUAGAUGUCGUACUGUAAAUACUUACAGUAUGUAAAAUUUAGUUAGAAUAUAUUAUAUGUUAAUAAAUCUAGAUGUGUGUUAGAGUAGCUAGUAGAUUAAAUUUAAAAGAGUUGGUAUAAGAAACUUUACUUUGUUUCAUUACUUGUUUUGAUUUUGAUAUUAAAUAUAUAUAUAUAUAUAUAUAUAUAUAUAAGACCUAAAUGUUUAGUAUGAAGCCUUGGGAGAAGGUGGAAGCCUGAGGAUGAAAAUCUAAACUAGUAGGAGGCUAAUUGGGAGGGAUGAAAGCAAGGCAUGGUCGGAUGAAGGCAAGGAAUAGGGAACUUCAUCCCUAUUGGUCGAAUUCCAUGCCCAAUGGACUUUGAGGAGGCUGCCUGCGACCUUAAGAAGGGUUUCAGUGACUUCAAAAAGAAGAAUUCGGAGAUUAGAAGCUAGUGUUGUAAAGUUCAGGAUUUGGAGUACAAUUUGUGUAUAAAAAUUAGAGGAUUUGGAGUUAGGGUGAAAAAGUUAUAGCCAUUUGAAGUUAAGGUGUUUAUUUAAGACAUACUAUUACUCUUUUUAGGGUACGAGGAGUUUUACAGUAGCUUUUGAAGAUCGGAAGGUGUGACUAGAACGGCGAUUUCAAGGCCUACAUCUUUCAUGAAAAAAUUAUUGCUUUUGGAGUUCAUAUGAAGGAGUUAUAAGGAGUUGAAGGCGGCGCUUCCAAAUCAAAAGCAAUAAGUAAGCAGGUUUGUUUGUAGUAAUGGUUGGAGCCAUAACAUGAGUUUUCGGACAAAUUUUUGGCUCAAACUUUUUGGAGAAUAUAAAAUUUUGUGUUAAAAAGCUGUACAUAUAAAUUUCGUGGAAUUUGAGCUUAUAUUUUGUGAGAUAUGAAGAAAAUUGCACGCGGAUGUAUAAAAACAAGGGUUUGAAGUGACUGUUAGGGUUUUCAAGAUAUUUCAAGAUCUGCGACGAAUUUGUAGUUGAAAACUGUUGUAGAAGUUAAUAAGAAUACAUCAUUACCUCAUGUAAAAUUUGAGUUUAUUUGGAUGGUCGGAUUAGAAGAUAUGACGUGUUGAAGUUUGGAAAAAUCUCCAUAUAAGAAUAAACAAGGUUUUAGAAGAUUUUAUCAUAUUUUGGAAGUUGUGGGUUACUUGAGGAUUGUGUAUUUGGUGUAAUUACUCAAAAAGAAAAAAAUUAUACAUAAACUUAGGGAUUUCCUUAUUUUCAAGUUUGAUUGAAUAAUUAGUGACAGCCAGAAGCCAGCAUUUUUUAGAGGCAAAUUCUCUCUACUCCGUCAACGGAGAAAUACUGGUUAUAUAAAUUGAGUCUUUAGUGUCACAAUUGACUGUACUCUUACUAUCUAAAAUCAAUUAUCAAACUAUAAAACACCAAGGCUUACUACUUCCAUCUUAAUUCAACACAUAAUCUAUUCUACAACUAUAAAUUCAACACAUAAUCUAUUCUACAACUAUAAAUUCAACAAUACUUCCAUAUUCUUAUCUGUUCAUCUCUCACUUAUUCUCUUUGCAGUUUAUACAUAUUCAAUUAUUAACACAAUAGAAUUCUCAAGGUCACAAAUUUUCUCAAAAACGGUCAGUUCAAAGUCAAAUCCUACAAUAUUCUAAUCAUAGUUUCAACAAUACUUCUCUCAAUCACAAUUCUUCAUAAGAAAAUAAUAAAAACAAAGAAAACAAAGACAUAGUACCAAGCUUGUCUUGGCUUACGACUAUCAUAGUCUAGCCUCCCAGCUUAUGACUCUCACAAUUUGGCCCCGAUCUCCCUUUUCUCAACCUCUUUAUCCUACAAAAAGAUGGACUAUCACCAAGCACAUUUCAAAGGUUAUGAUCUUUUAAAUUCUUAACUAUUUCUUUUUCUAACAACCUACUAUUACCAACUAAAUUGCCUAAACAUAAGUCUAAUUGUCAAGGUUGUCAAGAACUAAUCAGUAACUUACAAAAAAAUUUAUUUGCCUAUUCUACAUAGCCCCACUCUUAAUUGUGUAGCGCCCUCUCAAACAUUAUUUAGCCUCAACUUAUAAAGAUGUAGCAGCAUUGGCUUCUUCAGUCAGUGGCAUUGGCUUACCACCUUUUAAAUUGGUGACCUCCUCCUCUGCUACAUCUUUGUUGUAUACCUCGAUGUUCGAUGGUUCUCCAUCCAAAUGCACUAUUAAAUCUUCAUUCAACAAACCCAAUUUCCAUAUAUGAGACUCAAGAUGGCAAUUUGGUUGUCGUGCUCUUUCAACAUCUUCUGCCAUUCUUUUGUCAGUUUCAAAGGUAUCUCUAAAGGUAUUGUCGUUGAAACUGAUGUAUUGGUCUCCACUACAUUAUUGGCCUCCUUUGCUAGUGCGACUAGUUUAGUCUGCAAUAUUGUAACCUCUACCUGUAGCUACUCUUGUUGUUCCUUCCAAUCGGUCUCUAUCCUUACUUUCUCAGAUACCAUGUUUGCCAUCUUCUCUUUUUCUGCCAUCCACUUCUCCUUAUCCACAAAAGGAAACACGAUGCUUGUUAAGAGCCUCCCUCCUACUUCUUACUAUGGUCCAAUUAAUUAGAUCGACUCCCCUUUUUGUAACAAAAAACCUGUCCCAGGUUUAUAUAUAGUAAAGUUUAAGUUGAUUGCCAUUGAUCCAUGUCAUAAAUUUAGUAUCCAUAAAAUCUUCCAAUUAUAGUGAACCAUUUGGAAAUCCAUCAAUAACUUGAUAUGGCCCAUGCCAUUGAACUUGAAAUUUUCUUAGAAUUUUUUUAAAUCGACUAUCAUAAAGAAGUAUCAAAUCAUUUGGCAUAAAAGCCUUUGGUCUAAGCUUACUAUUAUAAUAAGUCUUCCUUUAUUUUUGUAUAGUUUCCAUUAUCAUUAAUGCAUUGGCUCUAGUUUCAUCAAAUUUUUUCAAUUCUUCUAAACGGUAUUAUAAUAAAUCAUGAUCUCCCAAUCUAUUAUCUAUAGCAAUUCGUAAACUUUGGACUUCCAAUUCAAUAGGUAAUAUUGCUUCCUGGCCAUAAACCAAUUGAAUAGGGGUAGCAUUGGUAGUAACUUUAUACGCAACAUGGUAUGUCAAUAAAGCUACAAACAAUUUAGUGUCCAAAUCUAUUCACACUCUUGAAACUAUUUUUGUUAAGAUUUUACAUAAAAUUCCAUUAGUCUUUCCCGUUUGUCCAUUGGCUCAAGAGUGAUAUGGUGUAAUCUUCCAAUGUUUUAUCUCGUAUUUAGUUGUAAGUACUUUGAUUGUACUAUUUAUAAAAUAAGUUCGUCGAUCAUUAACCAAUUCUCGUAGACAAUCAAAUCGUAUAAUAAUAUUUUCAUACACAAAAGUUGCUACUAUUCUUGCACUAUCGAUUUUUGUAGCUACGACUUCAGUCCAUUUUGUUAUGUAAUCCGUUGCUACUAAUAUAUAUCAUUUUUGUCCAUUUCUUGAGGUUUGUGCAAUUGGUCCUACAAAAUCAAUUCUCCAUUUUUUAAAAGACGCUUGAGUUAGAAUUGGUACCAAUGGUAUUGUUGAAGUUCUAGUAGAUCGAUCCAUUCUCUCACAUAGGUCACAAUGAUAGACGAAUUGGUGGGCAUCUAUAAACAUUGUUGGCCACCUAUAAUCAGCCUGUAAAGCUUUACGAGUCGUGCUGUCUCUCGCAAAAUAUCCACCACAAUUGUCCAAGUGGCAAUCUUCCAAUAUAGUACGUACUUCAAUUUGAUAAAUAUAGCAUCGCAAAACUCCAUCCUUGCCUUGUUUAUAUAAAGCUUCACCAAUCAUUGUAUAAGAUGCACAUUUUAAUAUUAAGCAUCGUUUAAGAUUUUCAUUAAAAUUGAGUGGGAAGGUUUGAAAUGUCAAGUAUCGAAUUAUUUCACUAUACUCCGGAGUAUUUACAUCUAUCGUAAACAGUUCCGCAUCGGGUAGUGCAUUGUUAAUGGGUUCAUUAUCCAAUAUAUUGGAUAACCGAGAUAAAUGGUCCACAUUGGAAUGUGAUUUUUCUGGUCUUACUUGAAUAUUAAAGUCAAAUUCAUACAAGAGUAGAACCCAUUGUACAAUAUGACCACUCAAUUGAGGCUUAUUAAUCAUAUAUUUUAAAGCAUCAUGGUCGACAUGGAAAAUAAAUUUAUAACCAAGAAAAUAAUGUCGAAACUUUUGUACGGAAUAAAUCAUCCUCAAUGCUCUUCUUUUGGUUGUUGUAUAAUUUCUUUCAGAUACUACCAAGUAACGACUUGUAUAAUAAAUAGGGUGAUCAAAACCCCGAUCAUCUUUCUGGCUUAGCACAAAAUCAAUCGCGACAUUAGAUGCAUUCACAUAAACUUAGAAUGAUUUUGUCCAAUAAGAUGCCACCAAUAUUGGUACUGAAACCAAUUUAUAUUUCAAUGUUUCGAAUGCAAUUGUACAUUCUUUUGUCCAAAAUAGAGUGGUUCCAUCAGUUGGUGGUUUUUUCAAGAGAUUUAUCAAGAAAAGGCAUAUAACUAUGAAUAGAUAGAUAAAUUGCCAAUAAUAACUGACAAGGUCGAUAAAUACUCGAAUACCCGUAAUAAUGUCUGGUUGCUUUAAUUCUAUUAUAAUCUUUAUUUUAUCUAUAUCUGUAGCAAUGCUUGCCAUCGAAGCUAUAUGACCCAACAGUUUAUCAGAAGACACACCAAAUUGAUAUUUUUUUAAAUUUAAAGAAAUUCCAUAUUUGGAUAUUGAUUCAAACAUUGACUUAGAUAUUUUAAAUGCUUGACUCUCGUACUAAAUGUAAAAAAAUCAUCUAGAAAUAUUUCCAUUGAAAUUUGUAGAUAAUCUUGGAAUGCUUGCAUCAUUACCCUUUGAAAUGUAGCUAGUGCAUUAUGAAGCCCAAAUAGCAUAAUCUUAUAGGCAAAGGUCCCGCAAUCUGUAGUAAAAGUAGUUUUUAACUGGUCUUCUUUUGUAAUCUUAACUUGAUUAUAAUCAGAGAAUCUAUCAAGAAAUGAAUAACAUUCAUGUUCAGCGACAACAUCCAAUAUACUAUUCGUGAAUGGUAAAGGAAAAUAAUCCUUCUUGGUAGCGGCAUUUAAUUUGUAGAAAUCUUGACAGAUGCAAACUUUUCCAUUCUUUCUUGGUACCAUAAAAAUUGGUGAAAUCCAUUCACUGAAAGGAACCAGAUAGAUAAAUCCAAUCUCCAAGAGUUUAUUCAGUUCUUCUUUUACCAUAAGUGAGUAUUUUGGAUUAAGUUGAUGUUAUCUUUGGCGUAUUGGUGUAGUGUUCUCUUCCAAUAUCAUUCGAUGGUCACAAACUUCACUUGGAAUUCCUUUCAAAUCCACAUACAACCAUGCAAAAGUAGUUUUAUGCAUUAAAAAGUAAUCCAUCCAAAUUUCUUUCUCCUUUCCUUAAUAUUGUCGUAAAUCGGAAUGAUUUGAAGAGCCUCCCAUGUACCUAAAUUAAUGGAUUGACAUCAUGAUAUUUCAGGAGUCUUUGAAAUAAUGUUCUACUCAAUUCUAGAAUCUUUCAUAAAAUUUGAUAAAUUAGAACUUUUCAACUUCAGUUCUAUAGCACUUACGUGAUUAACAUCCUAUCUAUUCAUCUAAUAUGCAAUCAUAUGAUCAGAAUCAUCAAUAACAUCUGGAGGAACUAAGUACUCUCCCUAUGUCGGAGUAGAGAGAGUUUGCCUCAAAAAAAUGCUGGACUUCUGGCUAUCACUAAUUAUUCAAUCAAGCUUUAAAAUAAGGAAAUCCCUAAGUUUAUAUAUAAUUUUUUCUUUUUUGAGUAAUUAUACCAAAUACACAAUCCUCAAGUAACCCACAACUUCCAAAAUAUGAUAAAAUCUUCUAAAACCUUGUUUAUUCUUAUAUGGAGAUUUUUCCAAACUUCAACACGUCAUAUCUUCUAAUCCGACUAUCCAAAUAAACUCAAAUUUUACAUGAGGUAAUAAUGUAUUCUUAUUAACUUCUACAACAGUUUUCAACUACAAAUUCGUUGCAGAUCUUGAAAUAUCUUGAAAACCCUAACAGUCACUUCAAACCCUUAUUUUUAUACAUCCGCGUGCAAUUUUCUUCAUAUCUCACAAAAUAUAAGCUCAAAUUCCACGAAAUUUAUAUGUAUAGCUUUUUAACACAAAAUUUUACAUUCUCCAAAAAGUUUGAGCCAAAAAUUUGUCCGAAAACUCAUGUUAUGGCUCCAACCAUUACUACAAACAAACCCGCUUACUUAUUGCUCUUGAUUUGGAAGCGCCACCUUAAACUCCUUAAACUCCUUCAUAUGAACUCCAAAAGCAAUAACUUUUUUAUGAAAGAUGUAGGCCUUGAAAUCGCCGUUCUAGUCGCACCUUCCGAUCUUCAAAAGCUGCUGUAAAACUCCUCGUACACUCAAAAGAGUAACAGUAUGUCUUAAAUAAACACCUUAACUUUAAAUGGCUAUAACUUCUUCACCCUAACUCCAAAUCCUCUAAUUUUUAUACACAAAUUGUACCCCAAAUCCUGAACUUUACAACACUAGCUUCUAAUCUCCGAAUUCUUCUUUUUGAAGUCGCUGAAACCCUUCUUAAGGUCGCAGGCAGCCUCCUCAAAGUCCAUUGGGCAUGGAAUUCGACCAAUAGGGAUGAAGUUCCCCAUUCUUUGCCUUCAUCCGACCAUGCCUUGCUUUCAUCCCUCCCAAUUAGCCUCCUACUAGUUUAGAUUUUCAUCCUCAGGCUUCCAUCUUCUCCCAAGGCUUCAUACUAAAUAUUUAGGUCAUAUAUAUAUAUAUAUAUAUAUAUAUUUUAAUGUCGAAAUCAAAAGAAGUAAAGAAACAAAGUAAAGUUUCUUAUACCAACUCCUUUUAAUUUAAUCUACUAGCCACUCUAAUACACAUCUAGAUUUAUCAACAUAUAAUAUGUUUUAAUUAAAUUUUACAUACUGUAAGCAUUUACAGUAUGACGUCGGUCCCUUGCACUAGUAUUUCAUUCUAAUGUGUUCAACAAUUUACCUUAUAUCAGCAUAAAUUGAGUUAGGUACACCAAUUUCUUCUUAUGUAGACUCAUUUUCAUAAUCCGACAUGAAUUCUAAACUAGCAACUUGAGUUUCUCCAUGAUAUUGGACAAGGUAUAUUUGAAGCACAAUUUUAUCAUUACCUUUUCCAAUUGCCAAUGUACUAUGGCUCCAAUCAUUUCGAGCUUUAGCUUGAUACAACUACAGUCACCCCAAUAAAAUUGAAUAUGACAAUAUAGAGCUUUGCAAUAAAAAAACAAUAUAAUCAAUUUUGUAGGUAAUCUCCACAAUUAUUGUAUCAAUACUUCGUAAAAUAUCCAUAAGUUUAAAUCGACUGGAGUCAGUCAUUUUCAAAACUACUGUAGUAGGCAAUAAGUGAUUCAAACCCAACUCCUCCAUUGUAGCCGUAUUCAUAAGAUUUACACUAGAACCUCCAUCUACUUGCACUCCUAAUAAUAAUAUUCCAUCAAUUGAGACAUCAAUCGUUGCUGCACCCGGAUCGGGAUUCAAACUUAUUUCUCAAAUUUCUUUAUUUUGACAUCUGUGACAAAUUAAUGAGGAAUUCAAGAUAGUUUGGCACUCAGGUGCUACUGCUAAUAGUUGCUUCAUAGAGAUCGUGGGUUGUAUGGUGUCCAAAUCUUUUAGAAUAUCAUAUGAUUUUUUAUUAGUGAUAAUUUCUAAUGUCCGUUUCUUCUUCUCAGUUCUAGACACUAAUGCAAGUAAAUUGGUUUUCUCUAUAUUAAAAAUUGAUAAAGCUACUAGAAUUGAAUUUGACGGAGCCUAUAAAAUUAGUUCUUUCAAUGUGUAAGAUUGUUCCUCUAAUUGGGCUGAUAUUGGUUCCUUGGAAUUCAUACCUCUUAGAGGAUCUUUCAACGGAAAGGAUGUUUCCCAAAACUCUGUAGAAAAUCGAACAUCUCGACAUGGAACCGAAGCCUUUAUAAUCGGUACUUCAUUAGGACCCAUAACCGAUUCAGGUCUUAUACUGAGUUAGGGGUCCAUGUUAGGACUUGGAUUGAAUGGCCCCAUAAUUGAAUUGAAGAUCACCCAAAUGUUGAAUUGGUCCUUUCUCCUUUUGUUGAAUUCUUGUAUGGAUAGUUUGGACUACUUCUAUCCAAUAAACUCGUGAUUUUUAUUUCCUAUUAUUUUUUUCUUCUACUAUUUACAUAGUCAAUUGUAUGUUUUGAUCAUAAUUAUUAGGAUUAAAUAGAACAUUGCAUUGAUAAUGAAAAUGACCUAAUUGCUUGUAAUUUCCACAUAUUGGAGCAUAUUCAUCUAUAAACCUUUGAUUAGGGCAUUUACUGGCAUAAUGAUCAAUUUGUCGACAUCGAUAGCAACGUAGUGGUUUUCAACCCAUACCGUCAAGUAUUUUUGGAGUCUCCACUAGAAUAUAUCUAUUAGAUCAAUUCCAGAUAGCCAUAGUAAAUGAUCCUGGCUAAUCUGUUGCUACUGGUCGAGAAUUGGACUGUUGAAUUGAUAUAGUUUGGAGAUUAUCUCCUUAAUUAUUUCUACCGUUCUGCAUAUUUUUUCCAUAAACCGGAUUAUAAUCGAUAUUUUUAAAAUUUUCAAAGCCAUGAUUAGGUCGAUUUGGACAAUUACUAUUCUAAACAUCCAUAUUUUUAGUCUGUACUUGAUUAACAUCUCAUUGAGUUGGUUGUAUUAACAUCUGGAUAUUAAACUGUUGUUGCCUUUGUAAAUGUCAAUAGUUUUGGGUAGGGUGCUUUCCUCCACAAAAUGUAUAUUGAACACCUGUUUAUCUGGGUGAUGGACAUUUCAUAUCAAAAUGACCUUGUCCUUUACAAUUAUUACAUCAUACAUUAGGUCUCAUAUUAGAAGGCUUAUGUCAUUUUUUCUUAUCUUUAGCAAAAUUUACAGUUAAUUCUUCCAUUUUCUUUAUUAGAUUUAAUAACAAGGCUUCAUUUCGAUCUUUAACAAUCGCAUUUGUGAACAACUCUAGUUGUUGAUAGGUUGGCAAUAUAAAAUAAGAUGUCAUUGUUAUUGGCGCUAUUGCUUGGAGUGGUAUAGCAUUAAUUGAUUUUUACAACAUAACAUUCUUCAUAUUGGAAUCAGCCAUUUGUGGAUAAUUAUCCAUCGACACAUUUCCCGAUUGUAUUUGUUGACUUCUUGAACUUAGAAUCAUCGUGGCCCCCAUUGUUAACAAUUGAUCAUAAUGACAUUCUUACCACACCUUUGCUCAUGCCAAUGAUGCCUCUACCAUAGCUGGUCGAGCAUCUUUUACAAAUAUUUUCAAUUCUAGUAGAUGCAAACCAUUGAUUAAUAUCGACAAUAUAAACGCCUCUGGCAUUUGAUUAUUUAACCAUUUAUAAAAUAUAUCUACGAUCCGGCCAUAAUAGGACUCUACUCAUUCCUCCACAAACAUCCUGCUAUUCAUAAAACUUUUUCUAAGCCAAUCUUCAAAUCCAAUUGGUCUAAAAUGAAUUAAGAAGGCAUUCCUUAAGGCCUCCCAAUUGAGAAAUCUUCGUACUGGUUGCCGAUUAUACUAUUCAAAAGCUGUAUCUUUUAAAGUUAUUGGCAACAUUCUCAAUCAAAUAUCUUCAAUUCUAUGAUUAUUAGCCACUUAGGUUGUCAAGAAUUGAGAUAUAUGAUAAUUGAGAUGAUAGCUCGACCAACCACUAAAAGUACUUAAUGGUGCCACACUUGUAGUUUGGUCUCCUACUGCUCCCAUUUGUAUAACAAUUAGUACUUUUGGCACUUCCGCGGCCAUUGGUGUUAUCACUAGUCUCUUUGCUAUUUGAAUUUGAAUUUUUCUUGCUUUGAUUUUACUUGGACCUACAAUUCCUUUUUGUCAUUUUCGUAGGAGAUUUCUUAUGCGUAAUCGCUCUUGUCUUUCUUUUGCUUGUUGAUUAAUUCUUUGAUAAACCUUCCUUUCAUGAUUAUUACUCAUAAUCUUUCAUUCUUCUUUACAAAAUCAAUAUUGCCUUGAAUUAUAACUCACAUAUUUGUAAUCCUAAAACUAGUUCUUUUUACGUUCUCAUUCAACAUACAAUUCCAUCUUGUACACAAUCAAUUUCUAACAUUUCAUAUUGUUAUUAUUUCCCUAGCAGCGGUGCCAAAAUGUUGUUCUUAUUGUGUUCAAGCUUCAAUAUAUCAAAGCAAUUGAAUUAAUAGAGGUAGGUUCGAAUACAGGGAAAGACUGAUUAUAUGAAUUGGGUUUGUUAGUGUUAUAAUUAACUGUACUUUGGCUAUCUAAAAUCAAUUAUCAAACUACAAAACAUCAAGACUUACUACUUCCGUCUUAAUUCAACCCAUAAUCCAUUCUACGACUAUCAAUUCAACAAUACUUCUAUAUUCUUAUCCGUUCAUCUCCCACUUACUCUCUUUGUAGUUUAUAUAUAUUCAAUUACUGAUCUUCAACUUAUUUAUUAUAUUCAAUUUCUCAAUUCAUCAUACAGAAUUCAAUAUCUUCACUUAACACAACACAAUUCGUAAAUCUCAAUUCUCAAGGUUAUAGAUUUUUUCCAAAUUGGUCAGUCCAAAGUCAUAUUCCACAGUAUUCUAAUCACAGUUUUAAUAGUACUUCUCUCAAUCAGAAUUAUUCAUAAGAUAAUAAUAAAAGCAAACAAAACAAAGAGGUAGCACCAAGCUUGUCCCGGCUUACGACUAUCACAGUCUGGCCCCGAUCUCCUUUUUCUCAACCUCUUUAUCCUACGAAAAGAUAGACCAUUGGCCAGCAGAUUCUCAAGGUUAUGACUAUUUGAGUUCUUAAUCAUUUGUUCCAGUAACAACUUAUUGUUAUCAACUAAACUGCCUAACCAUAAGUCUAAUUUUCAAGGUUAUCAAUAACCAACCAGUAACUUACGACAAAAUUUAUUUACCUAAUCUACAAUAAUCCACACACAUUCGUAGAGAUCUGUCUUUCUUCUUUACAAAUAAGAUAGGAGUCUUGGCUAGAGAUUUAGAAUGGCGUUUGAAGUUCUUUGCCAAAUUCUCAUCAAUAUACUCCUUUAAUACAACCAACUCAUUCUACUAUAAGUUAUAGAUUGGUCCGAAUGGAGGUUGAGCUCCUUCUUGCAAAUCAAUUGAACAAUCAUAAGGUCGAUGCUCGAGAAGAAUAUCUGCAUUCUUCUUUUCAAAAACAUCUUGGAAUUCUUGAUAUUACUUAGGAAUACAACUCGAUGUUGUUUUACCAUUAGAAAUGGGUGUGGCAUAUAUAACAAAAGAUGAUCCUUCUUUGUAACAUGUAUAAAAGCUUUUGCACCUACAAGUAAAGGUUUGGACGUAUUGAACUUACAUACUUCUUCUUUGCUAAUGCAAUCUUAGAUUAUACUAUCAAAAAAGUUAAGGUUACGAGAAAUCCAAUCUAUUUGAGGGUUAUAUUUUUCUAGCUAUAAUAAUUCUAAAAUAACCGAAUUAGAGGGAGAUUUUAUUACAUUAAAUACUAUUACACUGUUAUGAUCUUUAAUUGCUAUAUCUAAAAGAAUAGUUUCAUGGAUUACAUUUCCAGAAGACAACAAAUGACUAUUUAUGACUUCUACAUGUAUGGAUAUAACUUUCUUCACUAAAGGUAUUUUUUGAUUUUUGGCAAAAUCUUCAUCUAUAAAACAUGCUGAGGCUCUUGAAUCUAACAAGGCAAAGACUUUGUGAUUAUUAGGUCCUAAAUAUACUUCUAUUAUAAAACAAGGUGAGGGAUCUGAGACGAGGAUAGGACCUUUACUAGGUGUUGCAUAUGAUUCUAGCCGCACGGUCCCUAUUGUAGUUGGAGAAACUCAUUUUCUGACACACUAUCUUCUUUGGUAAUUGUGCUCCUCAUUUUUUAAUUGUAUUGCUUCUUUGAACAAUAUUGAGCAGUAUGCUUAGCUUCUCUAUAAUACAAACACAAUCUCUUUUGGUAACAUCAAGUCUUUUCUUGCUUUGUGAGAGGUUUAAAAUGUAUCAUAUCAAUUUGUAUUGGUUCUGACUAUGACAAAUACAUUAUAGAAAACUUGAGAGCUACCGCCAUUACUUGACUUGUUCCUCUUCAACUAAAUCUUUGUUCUUAAUACCUUUUAAAUAAACGAAUGUCGCAUACAAUGGCUUGAGUAAUAAAUUAUUUAAAAGAUUCUACUUUUGGUAUUGUUAAUAACAAAUCUUUGACGCUAUUCUUCAAUCCAUAUCGAAAUUGGUUGAUAAGUACUUUGUCAUUCCAAUCCAUGUCGCAAGCAAGAUCUUGGAAUUUGGUAGCAUAUGAAGUGGCUUGUAGAAUAAGUAAAUACACUUUGUGAUAAGUUAUUGGUUGGUUAUUGAUAACCUUAAAAAUUAGACUGAUGGUUAGGUAGUUUAGUUAGUAACAGUAUGUUGUUAGUGAAAUAAAUGAUUAAGCAUUCAAAGGGUCAUAACCUUUGGAAUCCACUGGCCAACGGAUCAUCUUUUUGAUAGGAUAAAAAGUUUGAGAAAAGAGAGAUCAGAGCCAAACUGUGAUAGUCAUAAGCCAAGGGCCAGACUGUGAGAGUCAUAAGCCAGGGGCCAGACUGUGAGAGUCAUAAGCCAGGGGCCAAACUGUGAGAGUCAUAAGCCAGAGCAAGCUUGGUGCUACCUCUUUUUGUUUCUUUGUUGUUGUCCAGUAAUAGAUAGUUUCUGAAUAUUAGGGGGUUAGUCUGAGGUGCUAGACUCUGAGAGUUGUAAGUGGAGAUAUUGAAUUCUAUGUGAUGAAUUGAAAAAUUGAAUACAAUAGGUAAGCUACAGAUCAGUAAUUGAAUAUAUAUAAACCACAAAGAGAGUAAGUGGGAGAUGAACGGAUAAGAAUAUAGAAGUAUUGUUGAAUUGAUAGUCGUAGAAUGGAUUAUAGAUUGAAUUAAGAUGAAAGUAGUAAGUCUUGAUGUUUUGUAGUUUGAUAAUUGAUUUUAGAUAGUCAAAGUACAGUUAAUUGUAACACUAACAAACCCAAUUCAUAUAAUCAAUCUUUCUCCAUGUUCGAACCCACCUCUAUUAAUUCAAUUGCUUUGGUAUAUUAAAGCUUGAAUACAAUGAAAACAACAUUUUGGCGUCGCUCUUGGAGAAAUGAUAAUAAUAUAAAAUGUUAGAAGUUGAUUGUAUGGAAGAUGGAAUUAUAUGUUGAAUGAGAACGUGAAAAGAACCAGUUUUAGGGUUACAAAUAUGUGAGUUAUAAUUCAAGGUAAUAUUGAUUUUGUAAAGAAAAAUGAAAGAUUAUGAGUGAUAAUCAUGAAAGGAAGGAUUAUCAAAGAAUUAAUCAACAAGCAAAAGAAAGACAAGAGCAAUUACGCAUAAGAAAUCUCCUACGAGAAUGACAAAAAAGAAUUGUAGGUCCAAAUAAAACCAAAGGAAGAAAAAUUCAAAUUCAAAUAGCAAAGAGACCAGUGAUAACACCAAUGGCCGCGGAAGUGCCAAAAGUACUAAUUGUUAUACAAAUGGGAGCAAUAGGAGACCGAACUACAAGUGUGGCACCAUUAAGUACUUUUAGUGGUUGGUCGAGCUAUCAUCUCAAUUAUCAUAUAUCUCAAUUCUUGACAACCUACAUGGCUAAUAAUCGUAGAAUUGAAGACAUUUGAUUGAGAAUGUUGCCAACAACUUUAAAAGAUACAACUUUUGAAUGGUAUAAUCGGUAACCAGUACGAGGAUUUCUCAAUUGAGAGGCCUUAAGGAAUGCCUUCUUAAUUCAUUUUAGACCAAUUGGAUUUGAAGAUUGGCUUAGAAAAAGUUUUAUGAAUAGCAGGAUGUUUGCGGGGGAAUGAAUAGAGUCUUAUUAUGGCCGGAUAUACUUUGUGAAUGGUCGAAUAAUCAAAUGUCAGAGGCAUUUAUAUUGUCGAUAUUAAUCAAUGGUUUGUAUCCACUAGAAUUGAAAAUAUUUAUAAAAGAUGCUCGACCAGCUAUAGUAGAGGCAUUAUUGGCAUGAGCAAAGGUGUGGUAAGAAUGUCAUUAUGAUCAAUUGUUAACAGUGGGAGCCACGAUGAUUCCAAGUUCAAGAAGCCAAAAAAUACAACCGGAAAAUGUGUCGAUGGAUAAUUAUCCACAAAUGGCUGAUUCUAACAUGAAGAAUGUUAUGUUGCAAAAAUCAAUUAAUACUACACCACUCCAAGUAAUAGCGUCAAUAAUAAUGACACCUUAUUUUAUAUUGCCAACCUAUCAACAAUCAGAGUUGUUCACAAAUGUGACUGUUAAAGAUCGAAAUGAAGCCUUGUUAUUAAAUCUAACAAAGAAGAUAGAAGAAUUGGCUGUGAAUUUAGCUAAAAACAAGGAGAAACGACAUAAGCCUUCCUAUACGAGACCUAAUGUAUGGUAUAAUAAUUAUAACAGAGAAGGUCAUUUUGAUAUGGAAUGUCCAUCACCCAGAGAAACGGGUGUUCAAUGUACAUUUUGUGGAGGAAAGCACCCUAUCCAAAAUUCCUAGCAUUUACAAAGGCAACAAUAGUUCAAUAACUAGACGAUACAGCUAAUUCAAUGGGAUGUUAAUCAAGUACAAAGUGAAAAUAUGGAUAGUUGGAAGAGUAAUUGCUUAAAUCGACUUAAUCAUGGCUUUGAGGAUUUUCAAAAUACUAAUUGUAAUCUGGUUUAUGGAACACAGAUAUAGAACGAUGGAAAUAAUCAAGGAGAUAAUCUCCAAACUAUACCAAUUCAGAAGUCCAAUUCUCGACCAGUAGCAAUAGAUCAGCUAGGAUCAUUUACUAUUGCUACUUGGAAUUGGUCUAGUAGAUAUAUUGUAGUGGAGACUCCAAAAAUACUUGACAGUAUGGCUCAAAAACCACUACGUUGCUACAUGUAUCGACAAAUUGGUCAUUAUGCCAGUGAAUGCCCUAAUCCAAGGUUUAUAGAGGAAUAUGCUCUAGUUUGUGGAAAUUACAAGCCAUCGGGUCAUUUUCAUUAUCAAUGUAAUGUUCUAUAUAACCCUAAUAAUUAUGAUCAAAACAUACAAUCGAUUGUGUAAAUUGUAGAAGAAAAAAAUAAUAGGACAUAGGAAUCAUUAGUUCGUCAAAUAGAAGUAGUCCAAGCUAUCCAUAUAAGAAGUCAGUAAAAGGAGAAAGGACCAAUUCAACAUUUGGGUGAUCUUGAAGUGAAGUGUCAAUGGGACCCUAUUAUGGGGCCAUUCAAUCAAGGUCCUGACAUGGACCCCUAACUCAAUAUAAGACCUCAAUUGGUUGUGCACUGUAGAAUAGAUAUUAAUUUGUUUUUGAAAGAUAUUCAUAAAAUAUAUUAAUAGUCCAUAUAAUAAGAAAUUUAAGAGGACGGAUGAGCAAUUUAAUUAUUAAAAGCAGUUAAUUAUAGAAUUAUGGUUAGAAUCUGGAGAAUCAAGAGAAAGUAUAUAGAAGUUGUAGAAAUUAAUUAAGGUGCCAUUGCUAUGAUAGUGUGAGCCGGAGUAAGCUUGGUGCUACCUCUUUUCUUUUGUUUGUUAUUUUCUUUGAAUAAGAGGAUUGAGAGUUUUUGAAUAUUGUGAAGUGAAUUAUGGAAUAGAAAUGUGAUUCGUAUUAUUUGAGAAGAAGAAAGAUUGAAUGCUGAAAUCUAAUUGUAGUUCAACACAGAGAAUGAGUCUGUGUUUGUAUAAAACACUGUAAUGUGAAUGGCAAUUCUGUGUAAAGAAUUCCAGUGAUUGGAAUGAGGGUAAUUGUGUACUCAAAGCUGUGAGGGCGCAGUAUUACAGUUGGAGAUUAUGAAGGUAAAUAUAUUGGUGGAAAUAGCAGUUAUUGGUAUGAUUGAAUUGUUGUAAAGAAGAGAUCGAUAAGGUAAAGGAGGAGAUUAUUGUUUCCUUACGUGUUCAGAUAUUAGAAAUAGAGAUGAUACAUUCAGGAGGUAAUUGAUUGUGUGACCCUAACGUGAACGCUUAAGCAACUAGUCAUUCUCCGUAUUCGAAUCCCCUUAUACGGGUUUAUUCUAGGAGAUUUCUUCUAAAAUAAGUAAAACAGGGAAUUCUUAUUUUGGUGCCACUGCCAAAAAAAGAUAAUAGCUUUGAGUGUUAGGAAUUAAUUACCAAAUGUGUGAAAAAAUUGGCAAUGGAAGAUGAUUUCAAUAGUGUUUGAAGCAAGAUUAUGGUUAAUAAGAAUGAGAGCAUUGCAUCGAGGAAAAUAAAUCAGUUGAGAGAAAGACAGGGAAGAGUCCAAGGAAGAAACUUGCUUAGAGAGGAGCAAGAACGUAAUCUUAAAAAGAAGCAUCGAUAGAAUUGGAUUAAAUCAUGCUUGCAAGCUUGUCGAUGCAUCCGAACAUAUCAAGAACCGAACAGACUGUUAAUUCUGCAAUCGUAUGUACUAUUAGAAAAACUACCAAGAACACUCAUAGAAAAUUUUGUUAACAUUCUAGUGAAAAUCUUAAGGCCAUUAAGUGAAAGAGAAAGAGGUGUAGAAGAAUUUGGUACUCCAUUGGGUAUUUUUUUAGUAAGGGGUACCACUGAAACGAGCAAUAGUGGCUCUUCAGAUUGGCACAAAUUGGUCGCUAAUAAAGAUAACUAUAUUGUAUUUCAAAAUCUGAUGUUUUCAUGUAUAAUUUAACCAAUAAAAAUAAUUAUGGAAAAUAACAGUAAAUCAAGGAGCACUGAGAGCUCAGAAAUUAGAAUAAGAGAAAGCAGAGAUUAUUUUAAAGCGGAGUUUAGCGGAACAAGAAAUUCAAUGGCGUCAGGAGGACCAGCCAUUCCAAUUGCAGUACAAAUGGGUGUAGUAGGCGAUUGUACGAUUAGUGUCAUACCAUUACCUACUUUUUGGGAUUUGCCAAGUACGGAUGUAGAUCAACAUUUGUCUCAAUUCUUGACGGCAUGUGUAGCCAAUAAUGGAAGAACAGAAGAUAUUUGGUUGAGAUGGCUGCCAGCAACAUUGAAAGACAUAACGUUUGAGUGAUAUAACUACCAACUUGUGGGACAAUUUAUCAAUUGGGAGGCAUUAAAAAAUAUAUUUUUAGCACAUUUUUGACUAAUUGGUUUUGAGGACCACCUUCGAGAGAGGUUAAUGAACAAAAUGAUCCUAGGGGAGGUGGUGGAAUCAUAUUAUGAUCGUGUAGCAGAUAUACUUUGAAAAUAGUCAAAUAACCAAAUGCCAAAAUCGUUUGUGUUGUCUAUAUUGGUUAAUGGACUACACCCACCAGAAUUGAAGAUGUUUGUAAAGGAGGCCCAAUCAGCCACCAUUGCAUCAUCUCUUGAGCAAGCAAAAGUAUGGAAGGAAUGUCACUAUGACCAGAACUUAACAGUUGGAGCAACGAUGAUUCUAUCUCAAGGAGGUUAUCAAAUGACAAAUUGGAAUGAUGCAUCGAAAAGUUAUCUGGGAAGGAAUGAUUAUGGUACAAUUCCAUAGGAAAUAGUGGAUGUCAUUCUAUUGCAAGCUGUACCACCAUCAUCAUCACAACCGUAUGCGCCUUAUUCCACGUAUCAAAAACCAAUACCUAUAAAGGAAUUACCAAAUGCAUUGGUAUCAAAGGAUCCCAAUGACUCAUUGCUAUUAACAUUGACGAAAAAAAUGGAUGAAGUGGUUGUGAAUCUGACGAAGGAUAAAGAAAAAAAGGCAUAAACCAACCAAUAUGCGUCCCAAUGUCUGGUGCAACAAUUGUAAGGGGCAAGGUCAUUUAGUAACAAAAUGUCCUUCACCACCUCAAAUGACUGUAUAAUGUACUUUUUGCGGGGGCAAGCAUAUUACCACCAACUAUUGGAAUUACGGAAGCAACAACUCAAUAACCAGAUAAUGACUCAACCAACUUCGUGGAAUGUCAAUUAAGUACAGAUGAACAAUAGGUUUGGUUGGAAUGAAAAUCGAGCAAAUAAACAAAAUAAGAAUUAUUUCAAUUUCUUAAACUCUGAAUUUCACUAAGAAGGUGUAUCCAAUAUCCAUGGAUUGGCGAUGAACCAACCAUGAUACCAUCAAUAUGUUCCCAUGACGAAACCAAUGCCAGACUCUAUAAUAACAAUAGAUCAACCAGGAUCCUUUACUCAUCCGACAUGGAAUAAACCUAGCCGUUAUAUACCAGUAGAGACACCCAUUAUCCUUGAAGGAGUUGGCAGGAGACCACUUCGUUGCUAUUGUUGCAGACAAAUCAAACAUUAUGCAAGUGAAUGUCCUAAUCUAAGGGCCAGUGAUGACUAUGCUCCAAUAUGUGGAAAUUGUAAGCAGUCUGGUCACACUUAUCAGUAGUGUAAUGCGCCCUUUAAUUAUAAUAAUUGAGACUAGCAAAUGUAAACAAGCCAAUCGGUGGAGGAUAAAGGCCCUAUUCAACGAGACUCACUAGUACAUCGUGUCGAGGUGGUGAACGCAAUGCUUAUCAGAGGCCAAUAAAAAGAUAAGAAUCCAAUUCAGGAUAUGGAUGAACCAAUCGCAGGAGAGCAAGUAGCACCAUCCAUGGAGCUAAAUGAACCAAUAUCAAUAUUGAGACGUAUCUCAAUAUUGAGACCUCAACACACUGAGGAACUCAAUUCAAUUCUACAUGCCAAUUUGUCGGGACUAUCUAAACUAGGUCGUGUUACGAGCUUUAUACCCAGUCUGAGAUCGGACUCGAUGGCACAACCCAAUGAGGUCCCAAUUAUGGAGGCUUUGGUUCUGCUUUAAGCAGUUUCGAUCUCUACGCAGUUUGAAGAAACGUCCUAUCCAUUGAAAGAUCCUCUCAAGGGCGAGAAUUCCAACGAAGCCUCGGUUGCUGUUUCAAUUUCGAAUCUAAGGUGAAAGAAUAUCUUACUUCACGGAGUAAAAUCGAAACCAAUGAAAUACAAAAGAGUAUUGAGAAUUACUCUUAAUAUGGAACCCUACGACAUUCUGAAGGAUUUGGAUGUUAUUCAACCUUCAAUUACAAUGAAGCAACUUUUGGGUGUAGCAUCGGAAUGUCGAUCUAUAUUAAAUUCAGCGUUAAUACGACGAAGAUCUUGCACUAAAGAAAUUCAUGAAGUUAGCUUAAACCCAGAUCCGAGAGCACCAACAAUCGAUGUAUCAAUUGAUGGUGUUUUAAUUCCAAGGGUACAAGUCGAUGGUGGCUCCAGUGUGAAUUUAAUAAAUGUGGAUACAAUGGAGGACUUGGAUCUAAAGGAAUUGCUACUUACGACAUUGGUCUUGCGAAUGGCAGAUCAUAGUCAGAUAAAACCAAUGGAAAUCUUACAAAAUAUUGCCACUGUAAUCACGGGAUUGAUAUACAAAAUCGAUUAUAUUAUAUUUCGAUUAUAGAGUUCUACGUUAUCGUAUCUUAUUUUAUUAGGCAGACUUUGGCUUUAUCAAGCCAAAAUUAAGAAUGAUUGGGACCGAGGUACAUUGAUAAUUAAAAAAGAUUGGGACCAGAUUGUUCUACAGAUGUAUCCAGUACAAUAUCAUUGAGAAUCUCAAUUGCCAGAAUCAGAAUUUACAUUAGACAACGAGAGUCAAUCGAUUGAGGCAGAUGACGAUGCUAUAGAUUUACCACAAUUUGGAGUAGGACAAAAUACUUCAACAGCAAAGACAGGAGUCUACCAAUGUAGAAGUCCCGACAAAUAUUUAUUGCAUCAGGAGGAUGCGACUAACUCGGAUCAUGCUAAUGCCAAAUGGAUGAACAAUUCCGCAGUCAAUAGAGUUAGCACAUUGGAACCAGAUUUGGGUGGUUCUCAUAUGUCGGAUAAUAUAAGAUAUUCAGAUCAGGAGAAGACAAUUAAAUCAGAGGUUGUUGAAGACCUUGUGUGUCAAUCUAUUAACCUAGGCACCAACAAAACGCCACAGCUAAUUAAAAUAUAUGUUAGUAUUAUAGGUACAGAAUUAGAUGCUUGGAAACAGUUUUUUGUCCAUCACAAAUCUAUCUUUGCGUGGUCGUAUGCGGAUUUGAAAGGGAUUCUAGUUGACAUGUGUGAGCACCAAAUUAUUUUGGAGGAGGGUGUUAUGCCAGUUCAUCAAAGACAAUACUGGCUUAACCCAAAAUAUUCUCUUUUAGUGAAAGAGGAAUUGGAUAAACUUCUUGAAGUGGAUUUUAUUUAUCUUGUUCUGCAUAGUGCAUGGAUGUCGCCAAUCGUGAUGGUCCUCAAGAAGAAUGAAAAAAUCAGGAUAUGUCAAGAUUUUUGAAAGUUAAAUGCGGCCACCAAGAAAGAUUACUUUCCAUUACCUUUCACAAAUAGUAUGGAUAACAUGUUGUCAUUAUCACCACUAAGUAAAAGAAUAGGAGUGGGGCACCAGUUAAAGUCAUUCUAUGGUGUUGUUUUGGGUUGGCUCAAGUGCCAUUUUCUUGUAUUUCUUGUGUUUUCGAGAGUAGUAGUUCCAGUUAAGAAUUAAUAGUGAGGAGCCAGUGACAAGUGUCGAUUGAAGAUAUUCCAAAAUGGAUGAGUCAGCAGCAACAACAAUUAGAACUUUGGGAUGUCUAGAUCUUGAAAUUAGAUGUUCAAGUCCAUGUAUUGGAUGAGUAUAAUGAGGACCUUUCCACUCAGUUGAGGCUGAAGCCGAUAGAAGGAUUGGAAGAGGAUGAAGAUUUGUAAUUGAAACCGGAAUCGGUGGAACCAAUAAAAGAUAUUGUGGCAAUUGAUUAAUUAGAUAGGCUAGAGGGAUCGUAAUUUUUGUGGAGAUUUGUUAGAUAAUUUUUAGAUAGGUAUCAAUUGAGUGUUUGCGAGGAUGCUGCAUAGAUAGGAGUGAUGCUAUGUAGAAUAGAUAUUAAUUCAUUUUUGAAAGAUAUUGGUAAAAUAUAUUAAUAAUCCAUAUAAUAAGAAAUUUAGGAGGACGGAUAAGUGAUUUAGUUAUUAAAAGUGAUUAAUUAUAGAAUUACGGUUAGAAUCUGGAGAAUCAAGAGAAAGUAUAUAGAAGUUGUAGAAGUUAAUUAAGGUGCCAUCGCUGUGAUAGUAUGAGCCGGGAUAAGCUUGGUACUACCUCUUUUUUUUUGUUUGUUAUUUUCUUUGAAUGAGUGGAUUGAGAGUUUCUGAAUAUUGUGAAGUGAAUUAUGGAAUGGAAAUGUAAUUGGUAUUAUUUGAGAAGAAGAAAGAUUGAAUGCUGAAAUCUAAUUGUAGUUCAGCAGAGAGAAUGAGUCUGUAUUUGUAUAAAACAUUGUAAUGUGAAUGGCAAUUCUGUAUGAAGAAUUCCAGUGAUUGGAACGAGGGUAAUUGCGUACUCAAAGCUGUGAGGGCGCAGUAUUACAGUUGGAGAUUAUAAAGGUGAAUAUAUUGGUGGAAAUAGUAGUUAUUGGUAUAACUGAAUUGCUGUAAAGAAGAGACCGAUAAGGUGAAGGAAGAGAUUAUAGUUUCCUUGUGUGUUCAGAUAUUAAAAAUAGAGAUGAUACAUUCAAGAGGUAAUUGAUUGUAUGAUUUUAAUAUGAACGCUUAAGCAACUAGUCAUUCUCCGUAUUUGAAUCCCCCUAUACAGGUUUAUUGUGGGAGGUUUCUUCUGGAAUAAGUAAAACGAGCAAUCACAUGCAUCCUAAUGAGGUACCAAUUAUAGAGGCUUUGGUUCCAUAUUGAGGUGUUUCGUUCUCUACAGAGUUUUGGAAAACAUCAUUUCCGUUUAAAGAUCCUCUAAGAGGCAUGAAUUCCAAGGAACCAAUAUCAAUCCAAUUGGGAGAAUAAUCUUAUCCAUUGAAAGAAUCAAUUUUACAAGCUCCAUCAAAUUUAGUUUCAGUAGCUUUAUCAAUUUCUAAUAUAGAAAAAAUCAAUUUACUUGCGGUAGUAUCUAGGACUAGGAACAAACAUUAAAAAUUACCAUUAAUACAGAAUCAUAUGAUAUUCUAAAAGAUUUGGACACCAUGCAACCCACAAUUUCUAUGAAACAACUGUUGGCGGUAGCACUUGAGUACCAAACUAUCUUAAAUUCUUCAUUAAUUUGUCGCAAAUCUCAAAAUAAAGAAAUCCAAGAAAUAAGUUUGAAUCCCGAUCGGGGUGUACCAACGAUUGAUGUCUCAAUUGAUGGAGUGUUAUUAUUGGGAGUGCAAGUAGAUGGAGGUUCUAGUGUAAAUCUUAUGAAUGCCGCUACAAUGGAGGAGUUGGAUUUGGAUCACUUAUUGCCUACUACAAUAGUUUUGAGAAUGGCUAACUCCAGUCGACUUAAACUUAUAGAUAUUUUAUGAAGUAUUGAUACUGAAUUGUGGACAUUACCUACAAAAUUUAUUAUAUUAUUUUUUGAUUGCAAAGCUCUAUAUUGUCAUACCCAAUUUUAUUGGGACAACCGUGGUUGUAUCAAGCUAAAGCUCGAAAUGAUUGGGGCCGUGGUAUAUUAACAAUUGAAAAAGGUAAUGAUAAAAUUGUGCUUCAAAUGUACCUUGUCCUAUAUCACGGAGAAACUCAAGUUGCUAGUUUAGAAUUCAUGUCGGAUUGUGUAUGAAAAUAUUAUUAUACGGUUCUAUUGUCAAAGAAAAUUGGUUAGUGAUUGAGAAACUCAUUUUAUAAAUAGUACAAUCAAAGUACUUACAACUAAAUAUGAGAUAAAACAUUGGAAGACUACACAGUAUUACCCUAAAGCCAAUGGACAAACGGAAAAGACUAAUGGAAUUUUAUGUAAAAUCUUAACAAAAACAGUUUCAGGAGUGGAAACAGAUUAGGACACUAAGUUGUUUGCAGCUUUAUGGGCCAUAUCGAGUUAUUGAUGGAUUUCCAAAUAAUUCAAUACAAUUGGAAGAUUUUAUGGGUAUUAAAUUUACGACACGGAUCAAUGGCAAUCGGCUUAAACUUUACUAUACAUAAACUUGGGAUGGAUUUUUUUUUCCAAAAAGGGAGAAGGGGGGAUAAAUAAUGAUAAUGAUAGGAUAUUUUAUCAUAAUGAAUCGUGGAAAAUAAGGAGGAGUUGAUCCAAUUGAUUGAACCAUAGUAAGAACUAGGAGGGGGGCUCUUGACAAGCAUCAUGUUUUCAUUUGUGGUUAAGGAGAAGAUGGCAAAUAUGGUGUCUGAGAAAGCAAGAUUGGAGACCGAUUGGAAGGAACGGUAAGAGCGACUCCAAGUAGACGUUGCGAUGUUGCAGGUUAAAUUAGCCGCAUUAGCAAAGGAGGCGAAUAAUUUAGUGUGGACCAAUACGCUAGUUUGAGCAACGACACCUUCAAAGAUACCUUUGAAACUAAUAGAAGAAUGGUAGAAGAUGUUGGAGGAGCCUGAGAAUCAAAUUGUCCAACGUGAGUCUUAGGUACGGAAAUUGGGUUUGUUGAAUGAAGAUCUGACGACGCGUUUAGAUGGAGAACCCUCAAAUACCAAGGCAAAUGAUGAAGAUGUAGUAGAGGAAAAGGUCAAUAAUUCAAAGGGUGGUAAGCCAAUGCCAUUGACUGAAGAAAUCAACGUUGUUACAUCUUUAUAAGUUGAGGCUAAAUAAUAUUUGUGAGGACACUGCAUAAUUAGGAGUGGAGUUAUGUCGAAUAGGUAAAUAAAAUUUGUGGUAAGUUAUUAGUUGAUUAUUGACAACUUUGAAAAUUAGACUUAUGGUUAGGUAGUUUAGUUGGUAACAGUAGGUUGUUAGUGGAAUAAAUGGUUAAGAAUUUAAAGGAUCAUAACCUUUGGAAUCCACUGGCCGACGGAUCAUCUUUUUGGUAGGAUAAAGAGGUUGAAGAAAGAGAGAUCAGAGCUAUACUGUGAGAGUCGUAAGCCGAGAGCUAGAUUGUGAGAGUUAUAAGUCGAGGUAAAUUUGGUGCUAUUUCUUUGUUUUCUUUGCUUUCAUUAUUCUCUUAUGAAGAAUUAUGAUUGAAAGAAGUAUUAUUGAAACUGUGAUUAUAAUAUUAUGAAAUAUGAUUUUGGACUAAUCGUUUAGAAAAAAUUUGUGACCUUGAGAAUUAAGAAUAUCGAAUUAUGUUGUGUUAAGUGAAGAUAUUGAAUUUUGUGUGAUGAAUUGAGAAAUUAAAUAUAAUAAGCUCAAGAUCAAUAAUUGAAUAUAUAACAAUUGAAAGAGAGUAAGUAGAAGAUGAAUUGAUAAGAAUAUAGAAGUAUUAUUGAAUUGAUAGUCAUAGAAUGGAUUAUAUGUUGAAUUAACAUGGAAGUAUUAAGCCUUGGUGUUUUGUAGUUUGAUAAUUGAUUUUAGAUAGCUAGAGUACAGUCAAUUGUGACACUAAUAGAUCCAAUUCAUAUAACCAGUCUUUUUCCAUAUUUGAACCUACCUAUAUUAGUUCAAUUGCUUUGGUAUAUCAAAGCUUGAACGCAAUGAGAACAACACCUACCAAUUCGUCUGUCAUUGUGAUCCAUGUGAGAGAGCGGAUCGACCUACUAGAACUUCAACAAUGCCAUUGAUACCAAUUCUGCCUCAAGUGCCUUUUGAAAAAUAGAGAAUUGAUUUUGUGGGACCAAUUACACCAACCUCGAGAAAUGGACAAAAACGGUAUAUACUGAUAGCAAUGGAUUACGUAACAAAAUGGGCUGAAGCCAUAGCUAUAAAAAUCGAUAGUGCAAGAACAAUAGCAACCUUUUUGUAUGAAAAUAUUAUUACUCAGUUCGGUUGUUUACGAGAAUUGGUUAUUGAACGAGGAACUUAUUUUAUAAAUAGUACAAUCAAAGUACUUACGGCUAAAUACGAGAUAAAACAUUGGAAGACUACAUUGUAUCUCCCUAGAGCCAAUGGACAAAUAGAAAAGACUAAUGGAAUUUUAAAAAAAAUCUUAAUGAAAACAGUUUCAAGAGCGGGAACAGAUUGGUACACUAAGUUGUUCGCAGCUCUAUGGGCAUACCAUACUGUGUAUAAAGUUACUACCAAUGCUACCCCUUUUCAAUUGGUUUAUGGCCAAGAAGCAAUAUUACCUAUUGAAUUGGAAGUCCAAAGUUUACAAAUUGCUAUACAUAAUAGAUUGGGAGAUCAUGAUUCAUUACGGCACCAUUUAGAAGAAUUGAAAAAAUUAGAUGAAACUAGAGCCAAUGCAUUAAUGAUCAUGGAAACUACACAAAAACAAAAGAAGACUUAUUAUGAUAGUAAGCUUAGACCAAAGGCAUUUAUGCCAAAUGAUUUGGUACUUUUUUAUAAUAGUCGAUUUAAAAAAAAUUUAGGAAAAUUUCAAGUACGAUGGCAUAGGCCAUAUCGAGUUAUUGACAGAUUUCCAAAUGGUUCACUAUAAUUGGAAGAUUUUAUGGGUACUAAAUUUAUGACACGGAUCAAUGGAAAUCGACUUAAACUUUACUAUACAUAAAUUCGGGACGGAUUUUCUUUUCCAAAAAAGGGGGGAUAAAUAAUGAUGAUAAUAGGAUAUUUCAUUAUGACGAAUUGUGGAAAAUAGGAGAGAGUCAACUCAAUUGAUUGGACCAUAGUAAGAAGUAGGAGGGAGGCUCUUGACAAGCAUCCUAUUUUCUUUUGUGAUUAAGGAGAAGAUGGCAAAUAUAGUGUCUGAGAAAGCAAGGUUAGAGACCAAUUGGAAGGAAUGGCAAGAUUGACUGCAAGUAGAGGUUACAAAGUUGUAGACUAAACUAGUUGCAUUAGCGAAGGAGGCCAAUAAUUUAAUGCAGACCAAUACGCCAAUUUCAUUGACAAUACCUUUGUAGAUAUUUUUGAGAUCGACAAAAGAAUGGCAAAAGGUAUUGGAGGAGCGUGACAUUCAAAUUGCCCAACGUGAGUCUCAAGUACGAAAAUUGGGUUUAUUAAAUGAAGAUCUGAUGGUGCGUUUGGAUGGAGAACUCUCGAACACUGAGGCAAAUAACGAAGAUGUAAAGAGGAGAAGGUCACCAAAUCAAAGUAUAGUUAAGCCAACACCAUUGACAGAAGAAGCUACCGCUAUUGUAAUACAUGAAGUCUUGCUUGAGAAUGCUUCUAGCAUCUGAUUGUGGAAGGAAGAAUAAAAAUUACAAUAAAAAAAUCCUAAUUCUAAUAGAAUACUAACAAUGCUCUAAUUGGACCACGAUAACGCUAAACAAGCUUAAUCAAAUUCAAAGAAACUUCAAAAAAAAUUCAAAGAAACAAUAAGAAAAUUUAAAGAAAUAUUAAAAUGAUCACAAAUAUCUCUCAAAUAUAUCACAAUUCAAUCUUUAUUUAAUCCUAGUUAAAAUCCUAUUGGACUUCAUUAAAACUUUGGGCCAAAAUUAAUUAAAUCUUAAAUCCUAAACAAAUCCUAAUAAAAUCCUAAACCAAACCCUAAUCAAAUCCUAAACCCAAAUCCUAAAUCCUAAACCAAAUCCUAAUCAAAUCCUAAAUAAAAUCCUAAAUCCUAAAUCAAAUCCUAAUCAAAUCCUAAAUCCUAAAUCAAAUCCUAAAUAAACCCUAAACCAAACUCCAAAUCCUAAAUCAAAUCCUAACUAAAUCCUAACCAAAUCCUAAUCCAAAUCCUAAAUCCUAAACCAAACCCUAAAUCAAACUCUAACCAAAUCCUAAAAAAAUCCUAAAUCCUAAAUUCUAAAUCAAAUCCUAA
rnacentral:lncRNA from 1 species